GACACCCACCUGGGAGGCGAGGACUUCGACAACCGGAUGGUGAACCACUUCGUGCAAGAGUUCAAGAGGAAGAACAAGAAGGACAUCAGCGGCAACCCGAGGGCGCUCCGGCGGCUGAGGACGGCGUGCGAGAGGGCGAAGAGGACCCUCUCUUCCACCGCCCAGACCACCAUUGAGAUCGACUCGCUCUACGAGGGGAUCGACUUCUACGCGACCAUCACCCGUGCCAGGUUCGAGGAGCUCAACAUGGACCUCUUCCGCAAGUGCAUGGAGCCCGUCGAGAAGUGCCUCCGGGACGCCAAGAUGGACAAGACCCAAAUCCACGACAUCGUGCUCGUCGGAGGCUCCACCCGGAUCCCCAAGGUGCAGCAGCUCCUCCAGGACUUCUUCAACGGGAAGGAGCUCUGCAAGAGCAUCAACCCCGACGAGGCCGUCGCGUACGGCGCCGCCGUCCAGGCCGCCAUCCUCAGCGGCGAGGGCAACCAGAAGGUGCAGGACCUGCUCCUGCUCGACGUGACGCCGCUCUCGCUCGGGUUGGAGACGGCCGGAGGCGUGAUGACGACCCUGAUCCCGAGGAACACCACCAUCCCCACCAAGAAGGAGCAGGUCUUCUCAACCUACUCGGACAACCAGCCCGGCGUGCUGAUCCAGGUGUACGAGGGCGAGAGGACGAGGACCAAGGACAACAACCUGCUGGGCAAGUUCGAGCUGUCCGGCAUCCCGUCGGCGCCCAGGGGCGUACCCCAGAUCACGGUGACCUUCGACAUCGACGCGAACGGCAUCCUGAACGUGUCGGCGGAGGACAAGACGACCGGGCAGAAGAACAAGAUCACCAUCACCAACGACAAGGGGCGGCUGAGCAAGGAGGAGAUCGAGCGCAUGGUGCAGGAGGCGGAGAAGUACAAGUCGGAGGACGAGCAGGUGCGGCACAAGGUGGAGGCCCGCAACGCGCUGGAGAACUACGCGUACAACAUGCGCAACACGGUGCGGGACGAGAAGAUCGCGUCCAAGCUCCCCGCCGACGACAAGAAGAAGAUCGAGGACUCCAUCGAGGACGCCAUCAAGUGGCUCGACGGCAACCAGCUCGCCGAGGCCGACGAGUUCGAGGACAAGAUGAAGGAGCUGGAGAGCAUCUGCAACCCCAUCAUCUCCAAGAUGUACCAGGGUGCUGGCCCGGGCGGCGCGGCCGGCAUGGACGAGGACAUGCCCGGCGGCGGCGCGGGCACCGGCGGUGGGAGCGGUGCCGGGCCCAAGAUCGAAGAAGUGGACUGAGUGAGUCGUGACAGGUCCUGGAGUGGUAGUGUGUUCUGUUGCCUGUGGUCGUGUGUGGUUCUGUCGAAUAACGAGGACGCUUGUAUGAGUGUAGUUAUUAAUGAUGUAGUACUAGGUUAGUAGAGGAAAUGAUAAAUAAUGUGUAAACGCAAGAACGACAUACACAUGUGGUUCUUGUACUACUAUGUUGUUUUUGCCUGAGUUCAGGAGAUGAAAAAUAUGUUCGUUGUCCUUGAUUACCGAAAAAGGGUUUGCCCGCUUUAUAUUACCACAAACAGUUCACAAAUUUUUAAAAUGUGUGAGUUCGAAAAAUGUUCACCAAUUUUUUUUAAAAAAAACUAUUUGAAGAAAGUUCGUGAAUCUAAAGAAGUUCACUAAUUUUAAAAAGUGAGUGAGUUUGAAAAAAAAUCACGAUUUUUAAUAAAGUUCAUUAAUUUGGAAAAAGUUCAAAGAUUUGAAAAAGUUUGUGAAUUUGAAAAAAAUCAUAAAUUUGCAAAAAAUGUUCACAAAAUAAAGAAGAUUGAAAUAAAAAUGAAAAACAAAACAGAAACUAGAAAAGGGAAAAAUGAAAAACAAACCAAACAAACAAAAACCGGUGAAACAUAAACUAGAGAAAGAAAACAGCCAGCGAGUAAACCGAAAAAGAAUAGGAAAAGAAAAAAAAGGCAGAAGUUCCACAAAACCGUGGAGGAAAUGCUUCCGUUAAAAUGAACAGGUGUGCGCCAACUACCAAAUAGCCUUUUAACUCUUUAACUCGCGCCUUGAGUGUCAAAUAGGAACUGACAUAUAUGUAAAGGCUAAUUGGUUUGAUGCUAAAAGUUAACAUUCUAAAAUUUGACAACUGCCAAAUGUUGGCUAAAGAUUGGUUGCAUAUUCAUUUUCGUUGCCAAUCUUACAAAAAAUCUUACAAAAUAUUAUCAAUGCUUGCUACUUUUGAUUUUGCAAAAUAUUAGCAAUGCCAAAUAGUGGUAGCAAACCAACGUAUUAUCGAAUGAUUAUCCAGGAGAGAAAACUAAAGAUGGGAAGUCUUGAAAUGGUCAAUGUGAUCCAUGAGAAGCGGGAGCUGAAUCUUGAAGCACACAAGCUAGUAAAAGGUGCAAUACUAUUGGUUGACAUUAAUUGACCGUAUUGGCUAUUGCUUAGCUAAAAUAUUCCCUUGCGUUAUGGUUUGGCUCCUCUCGCCGACUUAUCGUCUGUGCCAUCCACCCUCCCCCCUCCCCCGCGCCCUAGUUUCGUUCAGGCUGAGGGAAGACGAGUUCUGCUACCCAGCCUUGGGAGACUUUGUGGUGCUGUUGGCGGCUCCACACCAUCUCCUCGGCAAGGGUUUUUGCAAUGGCAACGUCGGCUAAAUUUAUUGAGACUCCCUUGCUGGUUUGAUCUAUUAAGAACUAGCAAAUUUAUGUCGGGGGCAUGAUCAUGAUAGGGAAGGAUGGUAAGCAGACUGAUUUUUUAAUAGAUAAUUAGAUUGGUAAUGGCUCAUUAAAAGAUCAGUUUCUCAAUCUCUUUGGGAUUUGUAUUGAACAAACUAAAUAUGUGAAACAAAUGGCUAAGAACAUCUAGGAUCUUAUAUUUAUUAGAAGAUGGCUCAACUCUAACCGUAUGAUCCGGUUGAUUUAGAAUUAUGAUGCAAUCUAUUAGUCUAGUGCCUAGGAAGGAAGAUAUACCAAGAUGGAUUUGGAAUAGGAAAGGAAAAUUCACAGUUAAAUCAAUUAAGUGGUCCUGGUAGAUCAUUUAAACAUCCGUGAAAAGCUAAAUUUUCUCUAAAAAUCAACAUUUGGUUCUGGCUAAUACAGUAUGGCAUAAUGCAGUCGCCACAAUAGAUAAUUCUGAAAAGAAAGCGGACUGACGACCCUCUCUGUCGUUUUUGUCCUGAAGUUGAGAAUAUUAACCACCUCUUCUUUAGAUGUCUUGCAUAUUUUACACAAUAUUUUUGGUGGAUCCCCAACUUUAUUUCACAAAGCAGGAACCUACACAUUGUAGGAAUUGUUGCGGUGUGCUGAGUUAUCUAGAAACUAAGUAACGGAGCCUACUUUGAGGAAAUUGGUUCGCUUCAUGACUGAAUUUAUUUGCUAUGAUCGCUCAUUUAUGCGUUAUUGGGCAGGAUUAAAAAAUGAAGGACAUCGACUAGCGCCGGAGAAAGGGGCUGAAACUUUGAAGGACGAGGUAAUGGGAAUGCAUGAUAGCAGUGAGGCUAGAUCGGGGAAAGGCACACUCAUGCCAGAGGCGAGGAGACCCAAAGAGGAUAAAGAUGAAGAUAGAGAAGAUGAUGAUGCUGAAGCAAUGGAUGGCGAUAACUGUGAGCCGUUCAUAAGGAUGAUUGUGAAAUGUUGGAAUGAUGGUGGAGAUACACUCUUGGGUAAUAUAUAUACUGCUAGGUUUUUUGUGUGUUCCUCUAGGUUUUCCUACGUUCUUUAGUUCUUGAGCCUGUUUUAGUUUUUGAUUUGCACUAGGAUGUUGUUUCUCUUUUAUUUAUAUUAUGUUAUCUUUAAUAGUGGAACCCGAUCCAUCUUUAAUCAAAUGGAGAAAGUUCAACAUGGGCUACAUUUGGCCCAAUAGUUAUACAUGACUUUUCAGUAUCGGUCUAUUGAAACUAAAAUUGGGGAUUUCCUAGUUGCCGCGUGUUGCGGCGAAUUGUCCACCAAUAACACAGAAAAGGGAGCGACCGAGUAGGAGAUGGGUCAGCCCAAUUAGCUAAUACUCGUUUACGGUUUUGGGAGCGUUCAAGCUAUAGUUUUUAUAAUUGUUUUCUUGUUCUUUUCCAGUUUUUUUUUUUUUGAAAACUUAUCCCGAAUUUCAAAAGUUCAAGUUUCCAAAAUUUGUUUAAAAAUUUCAAAAAAUUAUUGUGUUUUAAAAAAUUUCAGAAUUUCGAAAAAUGUUUCAUUUUCAAAAACUUGAGAAAAAAUUUCACAUUUGAAAAAAAGUCAUGUUUUUAAUAAAAUAUUUAGAAUUUAUAAAAAUGUGGCCAAAUUUUAAAAUAUUAGAUUUUUCGAAAAUUAUUUUUAAAAACAGGUUUUGAAAAUCUGUGCAGAUUUAAAAGAAAAUAUUUAAAAUUUCAAAAACAUUUUUACAAAUUUCAAAAAUAGUUUGUGUUUGAAUAUAAAAACUGACUAAAUAAACUAGUGAAAAAGGAAUGCCUUUUUCAGUGACACCUGUAAUUUUAUUCAUACUCAUAACAAUUACAGGUACACUGAUUUGGUUAUAAGAUCCAAGAAAAUACAAAAUAACUCCUAUGACUAAGAAUUACAAUGAAAUUUCUUGGAAACACCUUCUUCAUUGUAUCAAUCUCUGCUAGAAGAAAUACUCCAAAAACUUUAGUAAAGAGGCUGCAAUUAGACUGGAGCAACAAUAUUGCCACUCUUUCACCAUCACGAACAUUACCAAUAAUGGUUUUUGAAAUCACCUUGAAUCGCCCAUCCAAAAAAAAUGGAAAGCCUUGAUCGUUAAACGUACUUGGGCCGGGGAUGCUCCCCUAAAAGUGCAGGCCGUCAGAUCACAAUAUCUUCACCAAUGUGUCGAUGAAAGAUUUUAACUUCACAAAGAAUCAAACCAACAAAAAAGUUUGACACACCAAUAUAAACUCAGGAGAUCCGAGUAAUCAAAUUUGCGAGGAAGAAAACUGUCUAACCUCACGGCACCGUCAGAAGAACGAGAGUAAAUUUAUUCUCAUAAAAUAUGAUAAUCAGUAGAUGAUGACGAAGAACAUAGGAUUCUUGAAGAUGCGAGGUCCCCCCAUCACUCAACGUCAAGAUGAUAACCGAAGGUGAGGGGACCAAAAACUCUGCUGUAGCCCUAGCGAUCGACCGGGUCAUCCUAAUGAACGUAGAUGUGCUUUUUUUGAACACGGUACUUACGAAAGCGCUCAUAAGACGCGCGUACACUCAUCCCUAUGAACGCACACCGGCACACGUGCACAUCCUAUCCCUAUGAGCACCUCCGAGAGACUGAGGCAGCAUAUCAUUUUGAGAUUUUACGAAGUCACCGUAGGCACCUCGUAGUUGACGGGAACCUCUCCUCCUGCUGAACGUGCAUCGCCAGAAAUUCUGAAAUAAAUCCAGGAUAAAUGCAAGCACCAGAAAUUGAACCCUGCUGGGCCGUGGAUACCACUGUCUUUCUAAGCAUCCAACCAGAGGUUGGUUCGCGAGAGUAAAUUGUUGAUGGGCCGGCCCAGUUAGCGACCCCCUGUGCGGAAAGCUUGACUAUUUGCCACAGUGAGCGGCAAAUAGGAGCUCCCAAAAAAUUGAACCAAACAACUAAGUAGCUCCCUCAGAUGGAGGCCCGAAGUCUUAAAAGAGAUGACUGGAAUUCUUCCAGAUUCAGGGAACUCACAAUCUUUAAACAGAAACUCAACAUAAGCGAUCUUUUCUGUCUAAGAUAUCUGCAGUCACCGUCCUAGCUUCUGAACGAAUCUGGACUCGGCCAUCAUCUGAACGCUCUACCAGUUUUGCUUCCGCAAUCUUCUCACUGUCUGGACCUUUGAAUAUCUGGUAUGCCCCUAACGCUCUACGUCCUGACGCACAAAGAAGAAUCUAUUGGCAUGUUGCUGGAGAGAGGCGUCCCGAUCCGGCUACCCCACGACGUAUCCAUCCAUCCACCCACACGCAGACCACGCUACAGAACUUGACCAGCUCUAUCGUUUCUAAGCCAACAUGACGACGUGUCGUGAAAAGAUCCCCAGAAGCCGGCGCACUUGCGGGUUGUCGGACAGGUGGAGCAUUUGACGUGUAAACCAUUAUUAGAAGAAAAAAGCAUGUUCAGAUUCAGAAAGAUUUCAGGUAAAGACUGAUUCCUAGGCCGGGCGAGCAAUAAGGUGGGGAGUAUAUUCGAUAGGGAUACCAUUACGGAUAAGCACUCGGUGCAUGCUCCUGCGACGACAUAAUGCACCAGCGGUCUGGAGUAUAAUAAGAACCUGGGGGAUAGUACAUCAUCGAGGAAACAUACCAUGCGCUGACAGGCCGUACGAGAAAGUGACAGAAGCCCAAUUUAUCCCUACGGAUAAAAUUUGGUUACAACUUACAAGGCCAGGAAACAGUCUAACACUGUACGGAUUCAUAGUACUGCCACCAUAUGUAUGCAUAGCAUAGUUCUGCAAAAUUUGACCCUCGGCUCCCUCUAUUUAUCGGUCCUUAAUGAAUGCAAGGGCACCUUUUCUUUAGUCAUAGGUCGAAUCGUUCCACAAACAAGAGGAGGAGCUUAUCCAGUUGAGACAGGAACCAGGAAAAAGCAGCACUAUUUACUGGAUUAUUAUUUACUACAGGGGUGCCGAGUGUGCCAAAUAAUAAGCACUCAACAAUUCGAGAGCUUAUCAAAAGCUCCUCCUCCUACUCGCGGCCCCGGAGCCAUGGCAAAGCUCUUCUGUGGGUGGAGCAGCCACAGAAGAGGCGCACCUUAUAAAGCGGCCCUUGAGAGGAGGAAAGGCCGGCUUAUCGAAACGUGCAGAUAAGAGGGGGCGCGCAUAUAAACCAUACGCACGCCCAGCAACAGCAACACAAAAGGUAAACAAAACAAACAAAACGACGGUGUCAAGUUGCCACAUCGCAACGCCAUCCUUCGUAGGUCAACAGGAUCGGAUUAACAAAUGAUUAUUAUCGAUAACGCUAAUCGCAAGUGGAUAUGCGCGAGGUCCUCAGGCCUCAGCACAGGAACAAACAUCGCCUUUCGACAGUCCUAUCCAUGCGUCCAGGAAUUAUAAUGCAACCUGGCCAGAAAUGACGCCGCGCCGGCUGUCUAUGUCAUUUAAGACCAAUCGGUCGUGGAACCGAGUCGCCUCCAAAGGAAGAAUCAUAGAACACACCAACUAUAACCCAACUUGCAAGAUAAGAUGACAACGAUGCUGCUCGCCCUGCAUCUUGUACCUCAUUUACUCACCCACAUCGUGAGUGGUUCGGAAAAAAAAAAGGUUCUCAAAAGAUGAUGCAGGGUGAGCAGCAGCUGGCAGUCCCAGGGCAAAAACUUAAUAUCAAAACAGUUGCCACUUUGUUAUGAGAAAAAUUCUCUGGUUGCUAACAAGGUGUUGCGUGAGACGUAGGACACCAGAAUAGGUAAAUACCUCCAAAUGGGGCUAAUCCUAUCCUUGCAGAUACUUCACUUCAGCAAAAGAAAAAUGCAGAUACAACUCAGCGUUGCGAACACUGCAAUCACUUCAGCGGGGUUGAAGUUGAACUGAACAUAAUACCAAAGCAUAUGAAAGUGAAUUCAAAUUACUACAGCAGUGCACAUAACUGAUAAAGACUAAAAUCUAUAUUGAUGACAGAUUGUUUACAUUGGUACCUUCAAACAAUUGCACUCGCCUUCCAGCAAUUUCCUGGAAAGCGUUCGAAUGCUGAUAAAAACAAUAGUACCGACAAAACAUGGACAAAUCCUACAAACACUUGCAUGAGCUCCUUUCUUGGAUGAAAUUUCCAAGAAUGACCACAAAGCAGACUUCUCACCAACCUAUGAAAACUGACUAUAAAUGCCUAAACAGACUGCUCACCAGAGUAAUGCACAGAUGGAAGCACAUUGAGCAGGCGACAAACCUUUUAAUACAAACAAAAAUUCCACAAAUCAAAAGAUAAUACACAAGGUACUCCCCAGCAACGAUACCAAAACAUAGGGCGCUAUGUUCCUUGUGGCCUGUAGCAUGCCCCUAAAUUUCCACAGCUGCCAACUUCCAACUACCAGAAUGCUUCAAUCGACUAGGACUGCUCCGUCACAAUUAGCAAAACUGAGCUGCAUUUGUUGUAUGGUAACAUCCACACCUUGUCUCCCCGCAUACUAGAGGGUUAGCAGACAAGACAGCAAAGGAUCAGUCAAGAGCAGCUGACAAUAAUAGACACUCUAACUACUACAUGAACAUCUAUCACACACCUUCAACAUGUUUUCAUUGGCACCAUGAUGAGGGAGGCCUCAGGGACACACGGACUUCAUGUUCUUCAGGUCCAGCACGGUGUUUAGGGACAAUAAUCUCUAGGCCUGUUCCUGAUUCAUCACAGUAUGCUUCCAGAGUAGCAUCUUCUGGGAUCCGGGUAGGCAAUGGAACUUCCCGGAUGAACUCCCCUGGUGGACAAUGCUCAGGUGAAGGAUCCGUCAACUUGAAGGUCCGGUCAUGUCGCUUCAAGAAUGGCAUCCGUCCGACACUAGUGCAUGAUAUCUUAACGACACCAUUCGUAAGAGUGUUCUUCCAGGUAACCUUCACCUUCUGUAUAUCAGCAAAUGGCAGGCUAAUGAUGAUCAAGUAGCCCUUGCUAUCUUCAUAUAUUGUUUUUGCGGCAGUUACUGGCCCAGAAGCAUGACGCAUCACACCAGUGAAGUCAUUCGUCCAUGAUGGCUCAAAAGUGUGGCUCACAUCCAUGUCCUGAACCUUGUCUGAAUUUGAAUUGCUGCAAUCCUCUUCCAUGGCAGAGGGGGAGGAAUCCUUCCUACGUUUGUGGCACACGCCUGAGAUGUCCAUACCAUCCCCAGAACCAUGCUUUGAUGCAUGUGUUGACAGGUUAAGGCCAGAACCAUUCAGCACCUUCUUGUGAUGGCCAUGUGAGGUGCUCUUUGCUGGAGCAGCAGUUGCAGGCCUCUCGAGCUCAAAUUCCGUGGUCGGCAGAUUCCUCCAUGAUUCAAAAUCAUCCGCCUCAGUGGGAACCAAGAAAUUGGCAUCUCUCCCAGUGAGCUCGAACCACCUCUUCAUAUCAGCCUCAGGAACACCCACUAAGUUUGGUGCCCGCACGAUCUCAAUCCCAUGAAGGCACUGCGGGUUUGACAACCCCCGGUAGUGCUUACGCUGCAUCCGGUGUGAGCGCACAAACCCUUUGUCUGCGCUGAAAGGAAACUGUGGCUCCCCAAGGCGCGAGUGACCGUUCAUGAAGCUCCUCAGCUGCAUCUUCCCCAGGGCAUUCUCCGGCCGGUCCUUAAACACCCACAUGUACAUGUUCUCCAUGUCAUGCUGCACCAGGAAAGCAUCCAGAGUGGCACUAUUACCAUUCCCAGCAGCAGUGGGUGCCUUCGUCUUGCCGCCCUUAUCAGCCGACAUGACCGGCUUGAAGUAGUGGGUGAAGAAGAACCAUGCACCCCAGAUGCUAUCAUUCCGCUUCACGCACUUGCGCGCGGCGCUGGAACCGGAGCUCUUGGUGUGAGACACAUGGACAGUUGUUGUGGUGGACACCGGGGCCGAGGUCACGGCGGCAGCAGCAGGCGAGUCCGAGUCAUAGAGCUGCGGGCAGCCGAGGCCAACAUCCAGCAUGUCGACGUUGGAUUCAUGGAGGUUGGUGGUCUGCAUGGCCGGAGGGGGAGGCGACGGGUCAGCGGCGAGGGGGAGGUUGAUGUCAGGGGGGGCGGCUGCGGCGGCAUGGAGGCAGCGCUGGAAGGGGCCUGGCGGCGGGAGGAAGAGGUCGAACUCGUCGUGGGAGGCAGUGUCCAUGGAGAGGAAGGUGGAGGGGCCCUGGUGCGGGUGGUGGGCCGUGGCGGUGUCCAUGGAGAGCGCGGUGAGCAGCGACUCCCCCAUGGAGGCGGCGGCGGCGGCGGCCGUGAGGGGCGGAGCAGCCCUGUUCCAGGCCUCGUCCCCCGGCGGCUGCGCGUCGUCCGUGGCUGCGCUGGUGCCCAACUCUCCGUCGCUUCCGCCUCCACCGCCUCCUCACCGCGCGCUCCUCUCCUCCGAAUCUCUCCACGAGCAUCAGUUAACAGCCAGGCUUCACAUCUCCCUCGCGUCCAUCACACGGCCGGGAGGAGGCUUCCCUGCAAAUCAAAUCACACGGGGAAAAAUCACAUCAAUCAAUCCCGCAUUCGAAGCCCAAAUCUAACGAGAAACCCCACGAAUUCGAGAUCCGGCCCGAGGAAAGCCACGUACCUACGCGAAAUCCAAGGGCUCCGCAACCCUAAAAAUCGAAGAAGAACAACCCCGGCAAGAACGUAGCGGAGGCCUCUCUCGCAGCAGAGCAGAGUUGCAACCAAUCAAUCAGUCGAAAUCAAAUCGAAUUCCUGUUGAAUGUUGAUGAGCAGCGGGUGGGGGAGGUGGGAAGGGGGGAGACGGUAACGGAGGAGGGGGGGAGUUAAAGGCGCCGGUGGGCGCAGAAGGAGCCGGGGCGGGGGGCGGAGGCGGCCUCCCCCAGAAGGAGCCGGGACGAGGGGGAGGGUGGGGGGCCGUUACUUGACGGUGACGGCUGCCUGGGCGGGAAGGAUUGGCUCGCCUUGGAUCGGGAACGCCAGCCAGAGGAGGGUGAACGGGAUCGACGGGCUCUCCUCUCCUCUGCCCUCCUCUCUAGUCGAGUUUGGAUUCUUUUGGGUUGCAAAAAUAUUGCUGUUUUGAAAAUGGCACUACCGUGCUUUGUACAACUUUUUUUGUGUGGGGAAAUUCAUUGUUUGCAAUUCCAUGAAGAAAGUGUCUGACUUUUUUAUUUCCCACUGCUCGCAUUUUUUAUGAAAUUUGAAAUAUGUAACAAACUUGAGUUAUCAGCAUUUAAUUACUUUCAGCUGAUUGGAAAAUAUAUUGUUUAAAUGGAUUUUAUUCCGGACACACCUCAUAGUUUUCGAGUUGUGAACGUGCAUAAGUAGUUCGACUAGAAUAACGGCCCUUUUGUUCAAACCAAAAAGGCACAAUCUUUCUCCUUGAUAGUUUGCUACAUGUGUCACUAUUAAUAAGUACUAUAUAACAAAAAAGGCAUUCUUUUUUUUUCUUAAUUAAGCUUCUGUUCUGCGAAUCUACUAAGGAGAACUGCCGUACAGUCCUAUCUUUUUUUAAGAAAGAUCGUAGAUGAUUAGUAGCUCUUUUUCGAAAUCGAUUUUGAAAAAGAAUGGAAUAGGAGGAAAAAAAGCUUAUGAUGAGCAUCUAUUGGAGUCGAUCAUUUCCAAGAUCUAAUUCUAGUUUCUUAUUAUGUAGUGGAAACGCCUCACAAUCUUCAGUUUUAGGCUUACGCUUAAGGGAAGAAAUGUUCUUGGUUUGCCACAUAUGUCAUUAUUAAUGGACCCCAACGCCGAGCGAACCUAAGAAAUUUAGGGUUCCCAGGGAACACCGCCAAAAGCCAUUGAAUCAUGAUCCAACAUAUGGCAAUUUCUUUACAUGACGUGGCAAUUUUUCCACUAUUUUGUUUGCACUACAUGACAACUUUUGUCUUCUAUCAUGGCACAUUUACUGAAGUUGCCAUGGCAAGUCCGGGGCGUUCGCUGGGAAAACGCUCCCAAGAAACUUUCACGAGAUAACGUUUUCCUUGUUAAUAAGCGCUAUAUAUAAGGUGUGGAGCAGGUGCCCGCUUUGUAUGGGCAUUUCUAUUAUAUAGCUACAAUAUUGUCCAUGUUUCGUCGUAGGUGGGCCUCCUAUUGAUUCCACUCGGGGCAGGACGCUGUCAUGCAAACCCACGAUGCACUAGUGAUGGGGCCAUGCCAUGAUGCCGAUGGAGAUUGACGGUGUUACGUUCCAGGGGUGCCUCACCUGAUCGAAAGUCGGCCUGAGUAGCCCCCCCCAGAUGGGUUACGCCAUGGGCUGAUUAGCCCGGCCCAUGGCCCUACAACAAGGUGGACCCAAAAAACUUGGAGCAUACGACGAGAUUACCAACGUCAAGGAGGACUCCCCCAACCAACUUAAACAUGUAGCCAUAGACCUCGGUACCCAUAUAAGUCGAGGUCACAGAUAGUCAAAUAGAAAAAGAAUCCUAGAGCUAUUGCUCAAUACCUCGAUACUUGUAACCCCUAUACAAACAAGAGCAACAAAGAAGGAGUAGGGUAUUACCUCUUCCACGAGGGCCUGGACCUAGGUAAAACUCUGCCUCUAUUUCCAUCGGAUCUACUCGCCUAGUCAGAUACACUAUAGAGGGAUCUGUCGGAAAAUAAUCCGAUAGUGGCGCGCGAGUUAAGGGUUGUACUAGGUGAACCCAGAGAUCUGACAGCAUCUUUUGUUGACGCCGAUGCCAUAAUGAUGGGUCAGAUCUCCAUGUUCGACUCGAGUUCUUUCGCUACCGACUCAGCGGGCCGUAUUGGGCUUGUCGAGACCUAUGCACCAAGCCAGAUUGUCCAGUUCAGCAAUCUAGAACUCAUUACCGAUUCGCGCGGCAAGCUCAUCCUCCAAGGCAUGAUUCCUAGCCCAGCCUUGGAGCGACCGGCAAACUUCACAAACCCGUCGAUGCCCCAUGUUGUGGCCAACGUCGACUCUCCAUGUCGUCCUGGAGGAGGAGGUCAGCGACACUGAGGAGGUCAAGGAUUUCGGCGAAGAGAUGUGGGACUGAUACGUCUCAAACGUAUAUAUAAUUUUUAUUGUUUCAUGCUAUUAUAUUAUCAUUUUUAUAUACUUUUUAUAGGAACUUAUAUUAUUUUUAUGGACUAACCUAUUAAUUUAGUGCCCAGUGUCAGAUCAUGUUUUCUGCUUGUUUUCGGUUUCACGAGAAAUCAAUAUCUACGGAGGUCAAAAUAUGUUGUCAGUUUAACACGACUUUCUGGGCAACAAGAAACAACGGAAGCUUCAGAGAGAUUGAGACGCGUGAGACGUCCAUUUGCAUCAUGUUUUCCUACUAAUAUUUACAACAUUUUUUAUCAUUAUAAUACUUUGUGAUGCAAUUCUAAUGCCUUUUCUCUCUUAAUUUGUAAGAUUUACAUGAAGAAGGAGAUUGCCAACAGCUGGAAUUCUGGACCUGGAAAAGCUACGUCAGGGAUACCCAUACUGCAGAACUCCAAAUGAGAUGAAAUCUCACGAAGAAUUUUUAUAGAAUAUAUAAAAAGUACUAGAGCAAAGAAGUACCAGAGGGGACCCACCAGCUGCCCACAAGGCAGCAGGGCCCAGGGGGCGCGCCCUAGUGCCUUGUUAGGCCACUGGCUGGCCUCUGGCCCCCAUCUUCUUCUAUGUGGAGAGUUUUGACCUAGAAAAAAUAAAGAGAGAACUUUUGGGAUGAAGCACCGCCGUCUCGAUGUGGAACCUGGGUAGAAGCACUUUUGCUCUCCGGCGGAGCGAUUCCGCCGGGGACACUUCCCUCCGGGAGGGGGAAAUCAAAGCCAUCGACAUCACCAAUGAUCCUCUCAUCAUGGGAGGACAAAUCUUCAUCAACAUGUUCACUAGCACCAUCUCGUGUCAAACCCUAGCUCAUACCUUGUAUUCAAUCUUUGUCUCAAAACCUUAGGUUGGUACUUGUGGGUUGCUAGUAGUGUUGAUUACAUCUUGUAGUUGAUGCUAGUUGGUAUAUUUGGUGGAAGAUUACAUGUUCAGAUCCUUAAUGAUAAUCAAUACCCCUCUGAUCUUGAACAUGGAUAUGAUUUGUGAUUAGUUACUUUUGUUCUUGAGGACAUGGGAGAAGUCUUGUUAUAAGUAAUCAUGUGAAUUUGGUAUUCAUGUGAUAUUUUGAUGAUAUGUAUGUUGUUGCUUUCUUUAGUGGUGUCAUGUGAACGUCGACUACAUGACAUUUCACCAUACUUGGGCCUAAAGGAAUGCAUUAUGGAGUAGUAAUUAGAUGAUGGGUUGCUAGAGUGACAGAAGCUUAAACCCUAGUUUAUGCGCUAUUCCAUAAGGGGCUGAUUCGGAUCCAUAUGUUUCAUGCUAUGAUUAGAUUUAUCUUAAUUCUUCUUUCAUAGUUGUGGAUGCUUGCGAGAGGGGUUAAUCAUAAGUGGGAGGCUUAUUCAAUUAAGAACAGCACCCAAGCACCGGUCCACCCACAUACCAAAUUAUCAAAGUAGCGAACGUGAAUCAAAUAAACAUGAUGAAAGUGACUAGAUGAAAUUCCCAUGUGUCCUCGAGAACGCUUUGCUUACUAUAAAAGAACGUUUCUGCCUGUCCUUUUCUAUAAAAAGGAUUGGGCUACCUUGCUGCACCUUUGUUACUACUUCUACUUGUCACUUGUUAUGAAUUAUCUUGCUACAAAACUAUCUAUCACUGUUACCUUUAAUACUUGAAAAAAAUACCUUGCUGAAAACCGCUUCUCAUUUCCUUCUGCUCCUCGUUAGGUUCGACACUCUUACUUGUCUAAAGGACUAUGAUUGAUCCCCUAUACUUGUGGGUCAUCAACGUGCAUUGAUGUCUACUACACAACUUUACUUAUUGUAGACUCUGUUGGGCCUCCAAGCGCAGAGUUUUGUAGGACUGUAGAAAAUUUCCCUCAAGUGGAUGACCUAAGGUUUAUCAAUCCGUAGGAGGCGUAGGAUGAAGAUGGUCUCUCUCAAACAACCCUGCAAUCAAAUACAAGAAAUCUCUUAUGUCCCCAACACACCCAACACAAUGGCAAAUUGUAUGGGUGCACUAGUUUGGCGAAGAGAUGAUGAUACAAGUGUAAUAUGGAUAGUAGAUAUAGGUUUUUGUAAUCCUUCUCAUAAUAAGAAUGUGCACGGUCUGGUUCGGUAUGGCUGAAAAUAUAAAAACAACAAGGUAGCAAGUGAUAAAACGGAACACAAACGGUAUUGCAAUGCGUAAAAACAAGGCCUAGGGUUCAUACUUUCACUAGUGCAAUCUCUCAACAGUGCUAACAUAAUUGAAUCAUAUAACAACUCCUCAGCGUGUGACAGAGAGUCACUCCAAAGUUCUUAUCUAACGGAGAGAACAUAAGAUGAAAUUGUUUUAGGGUACGAAACCACCUCAAAGUUAUCUUUUCUGAUCAAUCUAUCGAGCCAUCCCUAUAAGAGCCACAAACAACCCUAGAGUUCGUACUAAAAUAACACCAUAUGAUACACAUCAACCAACUCUAAUGUCACCUAGAUACUCCAAUGUCACCACAAGUAUCCAUGAGUUGAUUAUACGAUAUGCAUCAAACAACUUCAGAUUUAUAAUAUUCAAUCCAACACAAAGAACUUCAAAGAGUGUCCCAAGAUUUCUACCGGAGAAAGUAGGACGAAAACGUGCAUCAACCCCUAUGCAUAGCUAGAUUACCCCUGAAGGAAAUAUGCCCUAGAGGCAAUAAUAAAGUUAUUAUUUAUUUCCUUAUUUCAUGAUAAAUGUUUAUUAUUCAUGCUAGAAUUGUAUUAACCGGAAACAUAAUACAUGUGUGAAUACAUAGACAAACAAAGUGUCACUAGUAUGCCUCUACUUGACUAGCUCGUUAAUCAAAGAUGGUUAAGUUUCCUAGCCAUUGACAUGAGUUGUCAUUUGAUUAACGGGAUCACAUCAUUAGGAGAAUGAUGUGAUUGACUUGACCCAUUCCGUUAGCUUAGCACUCGAUCGUUUAGUAUGUUGCUAUUGCUUUCUUCAUGACUUAUACAUGUUCCUAUGACUAUGAGAUUAUGCAACUCCCGUUUACCGGAGGAACACUUUGUGUGCUACCAAACGUCACAACGUAACUGGGUGAUUAUAAAGGUGCUCUACAGGUGUCUCCAAAGGUACUUGUUGGGUUGGCGUAUUUCGAGAUUAGGAUUUGUCACUCCGAUUGUCGGAGAGGUAUCUCUGGGCCCACUCGGUAAUGCACGUCACUAUAAGCCUUGCAAGCAUUGCAACUAAUGAGUUAGUUGCGGGACGAUGUAUUACGGAACGAGUAAAGAGACUUGUCGGUAACGAGAUUGAACUAGGUAUUGAGAUACCUACGAUCGAAUCUCGGGCAAGUAAACAUACCGAUGACAAAGGGAACAACGUAUGUUGUUAUGCGGUCUGACCGAUAAAGAUCUUCGUAGAAUAUGUAGGAGCCAAUAUGGGCAUCCAGGUCCCGCUACUGGUUAUUGACAAGAGAGGUGUCUCGGUCAUGUCUACAUAGUUCUCGAACCCGUAGGGUCCGCACACUUAACGUUCGUUGACGAUAUAGUACUAUGAGUUAUGUAUGUUGGUGACCGAAUGUUGUUCGGAGUUUUGGAUGAGAUCACGGAUAUGACGAGGAACUCCGGAAUGGUCCGAAAGUAAAGAUUGAUAUGUGGAUAGUAGUGUUUGAUCUCCGGAAAGGUUCCGGAAUCCAUCGGAAGGGGUUCCGGAUGUUUUCCGAAAUGUUUGGGCACGAGAACACUUUAUCUCGGCCAAAGGGGAAAGCCCACGAGGUUUUUGGAAAGCGCAAAAGGAAGUUUUGCGGAGUCCAGGGGCCAGACGCCAGGGUCCCUGGCGUCUGGGUCCAGACGCCGGGAACCCUGGCGUCUGGCCUUGGAGUCCGAGAAGGACUCUUGCCUUUCAGGUGAAACCGACUUUGUGGAGGCUUUUACUCCAAGUUUCGACCCCAAGGCUCAACAUAUAAAUAGAGGGGUAGGGCUAACACCCAAGACAGAUCAAGAAACACCAAGCCAUGUGCCGGCAACCCCGUCUCCUCUAGUUUAUCCUCCGUCAUAGUUUUCGUAGUGCUUAGGCGAAGCCCUGCGAAGCUUGUUCUUCACCAACACCGUCACCACGCCGUCGUGCUGCCGGAACUCAUCUACUACUUUGCCCCUCUUGCUGGAUCGAGAAGGCGAGGACGUCACCGAGCCGAACGUGUGCAGAACUCGGAGGUGUCGUGCUUUCGGUACUUGGAUCGGUCGGAUCGUGAAGACGUACGACUACAUCAAGCGCGUUGAUAUAACGCUUCCGCUUACGGUCUACGAGGGUACGUAGACAACACUCUCCCCUCUUGUUGCUAUGCAUCACCAUGAUCUUGCGUGUGCAUAGGAAUUUUUUUGAAAUUACUACGUUCCCCAACAACCCCAAUGUCACCUCGGGAAUCCGCAAGUCGAGUGCCAAAACAUACAUCAAGUGAAUUGAUAACCCACAAGUAUAGGGGAUCGUUUGUAACCUUUUUUGAUAAAUAAGAGUGUCGAACCCAACGAGGAGCUAAAGGCAGAACAAAUAUUCCCUCAAGUUCUAUCGACCACCGAUAUAACUCUACGCACACUUAAUGUUUGCUUUACCUAGAACAAGAAUAAACCUAGAAGUACUUUGUAGGUGUGGAUAGGUUUGCAAGAUAAUAAAGAACGUGAAAAUAAAAGUUAGGUGUUGUUUAAAUAAGGAAACAAUUAAGUUUAGUAAAACGAGCGUGGAUUAGUGGUGGUAGGAUUUGCGGAAUUGUCCCUUAGCAAUAGACUACGUUGCUAGACCUAUAGCAAGUUUUUAUGUGGGAGAGGCCACUUCUAGCAUGUCGUCCCUUACUUGGAAUUCUAUGCACUUAUGAUUGGAACUAUUAGCAAGCAUCCGCAACUAAUAAUGUUCACUAAGGUAAAACCCAACCAUAGCAUUAAGAUAUAUAUUGGUCCCCCUUAAAUCCCGUACGUAUCAAUUUCUAUGUUUAGGGUGAAGUUGUUGUCACCCUUGCCCUCCAAUGCAUAGUCCUAUCAACAUACUACUAACCCUAUGGUGUGAUCCACACACGCGCUCAUACGAUGGGCACCAAAGGAUAGCAACAUAACCGCAAGCAAAUUAAACCAACCAUAGCAAUUCAGCAAUUACCGAUAGGACAACAAAAAUAUACUCGGACAUCAUAGGAUGGCAACAUAACAUUGGAUGAUAGUAUGAAGCAUAAAGCACCAUGUUCAAGUAGAGGGUACAACGGGUUGCAGGAGAGUGGACCGCUGAAUAUAGAAGGGGGAAGGUGAUGAGGAUGUUGGUGAAGAUGACGGAGUUGCUGGAGUAGAUCGCCAUCACACGAUGAUUGCCUCGGUGGCGUUCCGGCGCCACCGGGAGAGAGCCCCCCUCCUUUUUCUUCUUCCUUGGCCUCCCCCUAGAUGGAGGAGAGUUCCCCCUCUGGUCCAUGGCCUCCAUCGCGGCGAAGGGGCGGGAGCCCCUCCAAGAUUGGAUCUCCCUCUCUGUUCUCUUCUAUUUCACGCUCCUGGUUUCUGGCCGAAAACCAUUUCUUAUAUUCCCGGAGAUCCAUAACUCCGAUUGUGCUGAGAUUUUAACACGAUUUUUUCCCGGAUAUAAGCUUCCUUGCGCCCGAAGUAGAGCUCCAACCGACUUACGAAGAGGGCACAACCCACCAUCAUGCGUCUGGGCUACCUGGCGCGCCCAGGUGUCUUGUGGUGGCUGUGGGGCCCGUUUGCGAGGAUUCCACCUCCCAAAAACCACAAAUAUUCCAAAAUAAUUCUCCAUAGAUUUUUAUCGCGUUUGGACUUCGUUUGAUAUGAAUAUUCUGCGAAACAAAAAACAUGCAACAAACAGGAACUGGCACUGGGCACUGGAUCAAUAGGUUAGUCCAAUAAAUCAUAUAAAAUGUUGUCAAAAGUAUGUGAAAGUUGUAUAAUAUUGGCAUGAAACAAUCAAAAAUUAUAGAUACGACGAAGAUGUAUCAACAUCCCCAAGCUUAAUUCCUGCUCGUCCUCGAGUAGGUAAAUGAUAAAAAGAUAAUUUUUGAUGUGGAAUGCUACCUAGCAUAAUCUUGAUCCUAUAUUUAAUCAUGGCAUGAAUAUUAAGACAAGAGUGAAUCAAAGCAAUAGUCUAUAAUUUGACAUAAAGACAACAAUACUCAGGAAUCCCAACAAACAAUUGUGUCUUUCAAAAUAUCAACCCUAAAGAAAGCUAUCCCUACAAAAUCAUAUAGUAUUGUCAUGCUCUGUCUUCUUAACACAAAGUAUUUAUCAUGCACAACCCCGAUGACAAGCCGAGCAAUUGGUUCAUACUUUUUAACGCGCUUCAACUUUUUCAACCCUCACACAAUACAUGAGCGCAAGCCAUGGAUAUAGCACUAUGGGUGGAAUAGAAUAUGAUGAUAGGGGUAAAUAUAGAGAAGACAAAAAGUAAGAAAGUCUCACAUCGACGUGGCUGACCAACGAGCUAUAGAGAUGCCCAUCAAUUGAUACCAAUGCGAGGAGUAGGGAUUGCCAUGCAACGAAUGCACUAAGAGCUAUAACUGUAUGCAAGCUCAAUAUGAAAACUAAGUGGGUGUGCAUUGAUGCGGCUUGAACUACGUCGGUAUUUCCCCAAAGAGGAAGGGAUGAUGCAGCACAACUACGGUAGGUAUUUCCCUCAGUGAUGAGACCAUGGUUAUCGAACUAGCAGGAGAAUCACGCAACACUAUGUAAACGGUACAUGCACACAAAGAAAAAAUACUUGCAACCCCACGUGUAAGAGGGGUUGUCAAUCCCUCCCGGGUAAAAAGAUAGAUUGGUUUGUAGUAGAUUGGAUAAAUAGAUCUCGCAGAAACGCAAAAUAAAAUAAAUAACAAAAAAUUGCAGCAAGAUAUUUUUGGGUUUUUGGAUUAAUAGAUCUGAAAAUAAAAGCGAAUAAAAAUAGAUCUCGAAGCAAAUAUGAUAAAGAAUAGACCCGGGGGCCGUAGAUUUCAGUAGUGUCUUCUCUCGAGAAAAAUAGCAUACGAUGGGUAAACAAAUUACUAUUGGGCAAUUGAUAGAACUUCAAAUAAUCAUGGCGAUAUCCAGGCAAUGAUCAUUAUAUAGGCAUCACGUAGAUUAGUAGACUGACUCCUGCGUGCAUCUACUACUAUUACUCCACACAUCGACCGCUAUCCAGCAUGCAUCUAGUGUAUUAAGUUCAUGGAAAAAUGUAGUAAUCCAAUAAGAAUGAUGGCAUGAUGUAGACAAGAUCUGUUCAUGUAGGAAUAGACCCCAUCUUGUUAUCCUUAAUAGCAACGAUACAUACGUGUCAUGUCCCCUUCUGUCACUGGGAUUGAGCACCGUAAGAUCGAACCCAUCACAAAGCACCUCUUCCCAUGGCAAGAAAAAUCGAUCUAGUUGGCCUAACUAAACCAAAGAUUCGAAGAAUAAAUACAAGGCUAUAAGCAAUCAUGCAUAUAAGAGAUCGAAACUCAAAUAACUUUCAUGGAUAAAAUAAAUCCAAUCAUAAACUCAAAGUUCAUCGGAUCCCAACAAACACACCGCAAAAAGAGUUACAUCAAAUAGAUCUCCAAGAGACCAUUGUAUUGAGAAUCAAAAGAGAGAGAGAGAGGAAGCCAUCUAGCUACUAACUAUGGAGCCGAAGGUCUACAAUGAACUACUCAUGCAUCAUUGGAGAGGCACCAAUGAGGAUGAUGAACCCCUCUAUGAUGGUGUCUAGAUUGGAUCUGGUGUUUCUGGAACUUGCGGUGGCUUGAAUUGUGUUUUGUCGACUCCCCUAGGGUUUUUGGAUUUUCGGGGUAUUUAUAGAGCAAAGAGGCGGUGCGGGAGGCGGCCGAGGUGGGCACGACCAACCAGGGCGCGCCCACGUGGGUUGUGCUCCCCUCGGAGAACCCCUCUGGUACUUCUUUGGCCCAACAGGUGUCUUCUAGUCCAGAAAAAAUCUCCAAAAAGUUUCGCUGCGUUUGGACUUCGUUUGGUAUUGAUUUUCUGUGAAGUAAAAGACAAGCAAAAAACAGCAGCUGGCACUGGGCAUUAUGUCAAUAGGUUAGUCCCAAAAAAUUAUAUAAAGUUGCUAUAAAAUGAUUGUAAAACAUCCAAGAAUGAUCAUAUAACAGCAUGGAACAAUAACAAAUUAUAGAUACCUUGGAGACAUAUUAGCAUCCCCAAGCUUAAUUCCUGCUCGUCCUCGAGUAGGUAAAUGAUAAAAACAGAAUUUUUGAUGUGGAAUGCUGCCUAUCAUGUUCAUCACAUAUUCUUUUCUUUUGUAGCAUGGACAUUUGGACUUUUAUAUGAUUCAAAGCAAUAGUCUAGUUUUAACAUGAAGAUUUCCAUACUCAAACAUAUCAACAAGCAACCAUGUCUUUCAAAAUAUCAACACUGAAGCAAGUUAUCCCUAGCCCAUUAUGAAGGGGAACGUAGUAAUUUCAAAAAAAUUCCUGCGCACACACAUGAUCAUGGUGAUGCAUAGAACCGAGAGGGGAGAGUGUUGUCCACGUACUCUCGUAGACCGAAAGCGGAAGCGUUAGCACAACGCGGUUGAUGUAGUCGUACGUCUUCACGAUCCGACCGAUCAAGUACCGAACGCACGACACCUCCGAGUUCAGCACAUGUUUAGCCCGAUGACGUCCCUCGAACUCCGAUCCAGCCGAGUGUUGAGGGAGAGUUUCGUCAGCACGACGGCGUGGUGACGAUGAUGAUGUUCUACCGACGCAGGGCUUCGCCUAAGCACCGCUACAGUAUUAUCGAGGUGGACUAUGGUGGAGGGGGGCACCGCACACGGCUAAAAGAUCAAACGAUCAAUUGUUGUGUCUCUAGGGUGCCCCCUGCCCCCGUAUAUAAAGGAGCAAGGGGGAGGUGCGGCCGGCCAGGAGGGGGCACGCCAGGAGGAGUCCUACUCCCACCGGGAGUAGGACUCCCUCCCUUUUCCUUGUUGGACUAGGAGAAGAGGGGGAAAGAGGUGGAGGAGAAGAAGGAAGGGGGGGCGCCCCCCUCUCCUUGUCCUAUUCGGACUAGGGGGGAGGGGCGCGCGGCCCUUGCCCUGGCCGCCUCUCCUCUUCUUCACUAAGGCCCACUAUGGCCCAUUAACCCCCGGGGGGUUCCGGUAACCCCUCCGGUACUCCGGUAAAAUCCCGUUUUCACCCGGAACACUUCCGAUAUCCAAAUAUAGGCUUCCAAUGUAUCAAUCUUCAUGUCUCGACCAUUUCGAGACUCCUCGUCAUGUCCAUGAUCACAUCUGGGACUCCGAACAACCUUCGGUACAUCAAAACAUAUAAACUCAUAAUAUAACUGUCAUCGAAACUUUAAGCGUGCGGACCAUACGGGUUCGAGAACUAUGUAGACAUGACCGAGACACGUCUCCGGUCAAUAACCAAUAGCGGAACCUGGAUGCUCAUAUUGGCUCCCACAUAUUCUACGAAGAUCUUUAUCGGUCUGACCGCAUAACAACAUACGUUGUUCCCUUUGUCAUCGGUAUGUUACUUGCCCGAGAUUCGAUCGUCGGUAUCUCAAUACCUAGUUCAAUCUCGUUACCGGCAAGUCUCUUUACUCGUUCCGUAAUACAUCAUCCCGCAACUAACUCAUUAGUUGCAAUGCUUGCAAGGCUUAAGUGAUGUGCAUUACCGAGUGGGCCCAGAGAUACCUCUCCGACAAUUGGAGUGACAAAUCCUAAUCUCGAAAUACGCCAACCCAACAAGUACCUUCGGAGACACCUGUAGAGCACCUUUAUAAUCACCCAGUUAUGUUGCAUACAAAGUGUUCCUCCGGUAAACGGGAGUUGCAUAAUCUCAUAGUCAUAGGAACAUGUAUAAGUCAUGAAGAAAGCAAUAGCAACACACUAAACGAUCGAGUGCUAAGCUAACGGAAUGGGUCAAGUCAAUCACAUCAUUCUCCUAAUGAUGUGAUCCCGUUAAUCAAAUGACAACCCAUGUCAAUGGCUAGGAAACUUAACCAUCUUUGAUCAACAAGCUAGUCAAGUAGAGGCAUACUAGUGACACUCUGUUUGCCUAUAUAUUCACACAUGUAUUAUGUUUCUGGUCAAUACAAUUCUAGCAUGAAUAAUAAACAUUUAUCAUGAUAUAAGGAAAUAAAUAAUAACUUUAUUAUUGCCUCUAGGGCAUAUUUCCUUCACAUUAUGCUCAAUCAUUGAUCCAUUUAUGAAACACACUCGCAUAUUAGCUACACCCAAUGCUCAAGUACGAUCAUAGUGCCCCUUAGUUGGUGCCUUGUAAGAGAAGAUGGAGACUAAAAAAUAAAAAAUAAAAAUUGCAUAAAGUAAAUAGAAAGGCCGUUCGCAGAGGGAAGUAGGGAUUUGUAGAGGUGCCACAGCUUAAAGCGGAAAAAGAUAGAGAUAAAACAUUUUGGGUGGCAUGCUUUUCCUGUCAACGAAAACGAUCGAGGAUUUCCCAAUACUUUACAUGCUAGAUAUAUCAUAGGCGGUUCCCAAACAGAAAAUAAAGUUUAUUCCUUUUUCCACCAUACUUUCACAUUCCACGGCUAACCGUAUCCACGGGUGUCGUCCAUACCAACACUUUCCAAGGAAUUUAUUACUAUUUGACAACAUAAAGUAAAUUCGUUUUUCAUUUCGGGACUGGGCAUCCCUAAUACCUUUGCCAUACUCUCGUGCAAUGACAAGUGAAUAAACACUCAUCCUGAGAAUAACACAUCUAGCAUGGAAAAAUAUCAGCCACCCCCUACCAUUUCAUGAGCGGUACGAGCACACAAAAAGGAACUUUAUUUUGAAGAUUAGAGAUGGCACAUACAAAUUUGCUUAGAACGGCAAAAGAAUACCGCAAAUAGGUAGGUAUAGUGGACUCAUAUGGCAAAAACUAGGUUUAAGGAUUUUGGGUGUACAAGUAGUAAUCCCACUUAAUUAGUACAAGUGAAGGCUAGUAAAAGAUUGAGAAUCAUCCAACAAAGAAACGAAAAAUAUCAUAAGCGAGCAUUAAGCAUAACUAACACCAAAUAAUGCACCACAAGUAGGAUGUAAUUUCAUUGCAUAACUAUUGACUUUCGUGCUUGCAUAGGGAAUCACAAACCUUAACAUCAAUAUUCUUACUAAAGCAUAAUUACUCAUCAACAUGACUCACAUAUUAUCAUACCAAAAAACUAUUACAAAGAAUCAAGUUUAUUUUGUCCAAUGAUCUUCAUGAAAGUUUUUAUUACAUCCCUCUUGAAUAUCUAUCACUUUGGGACUAAUUUCAUAUGUUGCUUUUGAUAGCUCAAACAAAUCUAAGUGAAGAACAUGAGCAUAACAAUUUUCUUCUCUAAAAAUAAUUUAAGUGAAGCAUGAGAGAAUUUCUUCAAAAUUUACUAACUCUCAAAUAGCUCUAAGUGAAGCAUGAGCAUUUCUUCAAAAAAAUUAAAGCACACCGUGCUCAAAAAGAUAUAAGUGAAGCACUAGAGCAAUUCCAUAGCUCAAAAAAUUUAAGUGAAGCAUAAAGAGCGAUUCUAAUGAAUCAUAGCAUAAUUCUGGCUCUCUCAAAUAGGUGUGUCCAACAAGGAUUGAUGACACGAACUAAAAAGCAAAACAAGCAAAGACUCGUAUGAUACAAGACGCUCCAAGCAAAACUCAUGAAAUGUGACGAAUAAAAAUAUAGCUCCAAGUAAAAUAUCGAUGCUCGUUAGAAGAAAGAGGGGAUGCCACUCGGGGGCAUCCCCAAGCUUAGUUGCUUGUUCCUCUUUGGAUAAUAACUUGGGGUGUCAUGGGCAUCUCCAAGCUUCGGCUCUUCUUACUCCUUAUUCCUUCAUCCAUCGUGAUCUCACCCAAAACUUGAAAACUUCAAUCACACAAAACUUAACAAAACCUUCGUGAGAUCCGUUAGUAUAACAAAACAAAUCACUACUCUAAGUACUGUUGCAAACCCAUUCAUAUUUUAUUUUUGCAUUAUAUCUACUGUAUUCCAACUUUACUAUGGCUUGUACCCUCCAAUACAAACCAUAGAUUUAUCAAAAUAAGCACACAACGCAAAGAAAACAGAAUCUGUUAAAAACAGAACAGUCUGUAGCAAUCUGAAAACUUCGUAUACUUCUGUAACUCCUAAAAUUCUAAAUUAGGACAACGUAGGCAAUUUGUAUAUCAAUCUUGUGUAAAAAAAUCAGAAUUUUAUCACGAUUCUGUGAUUUUUAAUAAUUCUGUGACUGGCGCACAAAGUUUCUGUUUUUCAAUAAGAUCAAAUCAACUAUCACCCAACAUGAUCCCAAAGGAUUUGCUUGGCACAAACACUAAUUAAAACAUAAAAACACAAUCAAAACAGUAGUAUAAUUGUGCAAACACUCAAGAACAGAAAGAAAAAAGACAAAAAUAAAUUUUAUUCAUUGGGUUGCCUCCCAACAAGCGCUAUCAUUUUAUGCCCCUAGCUAGGCAUAAUGCAUAUAUCUAAGUGUUGUCAUCUUUAGUUUCAUUUACCUCAGAGGUGUUUUUGUCAGGAGGUUUUGCAAAAACAACGUAGAAUAGAUUAUCCAUAGAAACUUUAGCACUAUCAAGUUGCUUAUCAUCAUAUCCCCUUUGAUUUCUGGCAACAAUCCAAGAAUAGUGUUGAUUAACAUCACUGAAAACUUGUUGGAUUAUAUCUAAAACAGGGAUUUCCUUUUUAAGAUUCUUAUCAAAGAUUCGAUUAUCCCCAAGCAAAUGUCUUAGCACAUAAUCACUAUUAUAAAGAAUCUCAUCUAUCACCGGUUUUUCACAAUUCAUACCAUAGAAAUCAAAAAUUUCCCUAGUUUCUCGUAUUAUGUAAUCAAAUUCAUUCAUAAGAACAAGGGUGGCCAACUUUUUAGCUUUGGGAUUCUUUAUAACGGGUAGCUCAUAAAACAAUCUUCGCAAGGUAGGAUGGGUACGGGUAAAUUUAUUUUCAAGUUUCAAUACUAGUGCUGAAAUAGCUUCUACAUAAUAUUUAGUCCUUUUAAGUAUAGGAGCAUCGUCAAGACUUAAAUUUCCAACACAAUUGAAAAAAUCUUGGAUAUGUUCUUUUCCCAUAACAUUCCCUUGCCCCAAAACAAAAGUUUUAGCAUCCAGAUUGCCAGAUCGUCCAAUUUUAGGAGUUAGGCCAUCAUUUGUUUCUGCCAUACCAAAGUCACUCAUGAUGACAAGUUCAAGCAAAUAAGAGAUCCAACGAGAAACGCCGAACGAAAAAGAGGGCGAAUAAAACGACAAAUUUUUGUGAAGUGGGGGAGAUGAAAAUGAAAGGCAAAUGGAAAAUAAUGCAAAUUGCAAGGAGAUGAGAUUUGUGAUUAGGAACCUGAUAGAUGUUGAUGAUGUCUCCCUGGCAACGACACCAGAAAUUCCUUUUGAUGCGGCUUGAACUACGUGGGUAUUUCCCCAAAGAGGAAGGGAUGAUGCAACACAUCUACGGUAGGUAUUUCCCUCAGUGAUGAGACCAAGGUUAUCGAACCAGUAGGAGAACUACGCAACACUAUGUAAACGGUACAUGCAAACAAAGAACAAAUACUUGUAACCCAACGCGUAAGGGGGGUUGUCAAUCCCUCCCGGGUAAAAAGAUAGAUUGGUUUGUAGUAGAUUGGAUAAAUUGAUCUCGCGGAAACGCAAAAUAAAAUAAAUAACAAAAAAUUGCAGCAAGGUAUGUUUGGGUUUUUGGAUUAAUAGAUCUGAAAGUAAAAGCGAAUAAAAAUAUAUCUUGAAGCAAAUAUGAUAAAGAAUAGACCCGGGGGCCGUAGAUUUCACUAGUGGCUUCUCUCAAGAAAAAUAGCAUACGGCGGGUAAACAAAUUAAUGUUGGGAAAUUGAUAGAACUUCAAAUAAUCAUGACGAUAUCCAGGCAGUGAUCAUUAUAUAGGCAUCACGUCCAAGAUUAGUAGACCGACUCCUGCCUGCAUCUACUACUAUUACUCCACACAUCGACCGCUAUCCAGCAUGCAUCUAGUGUAUUAAUUUCAUGGGCAAAACGGAGUACUGCAAUAAGAACGAUGACAUGAUGUAGACAAGAUCUUUUCAUGUAGGAAUAGACCUCAUCUUGUUAUCCUUAAUAGCAAUGAUACAUACGUGUCAUGUCCCCUUCUGUCACUAGGAUUGAGCACCGUAAGAUUGAACCCAUCACAAAGCACUUCUUCCCAUGGCAAGAAAAAUCAAUCUAGUUGGCCUAACUAAACCAAAGAUUCAAAGAAGAAAUACGAGGCUAUAAGAGAUCGAAACUCAAAUAACUUUCAGGGAUAAAAUAAAUCUAAUCAUAAACUCAAAGUUCAUCGGAUCCCAACAAACACACAGCAAAAAGAGUUACAUCAAAUAGAUCUCCAAGAGACCAUUGUAUUGAGAAUCAAAAGAGAGAGGGGAAGCCAUCUAGCUACUAACUAAGAACCCGAAGGUCUACAAUGAACUACUCACACAUCAUCGGAGUGCACCAAUGAUGAUGAUGAACCCCUCCGUUUCUGGAACUUGAGGCGGAUGGAAUUGUGUUUCGUCGACUCCCCUAGGGUUUCUGGAUUUUCAGGGUAUUUAUAGAGCAAAGAGGCGGUGCGGGAGGCGGCCGAGGUGGGCACAACCCACCAGGGCGCGCCUGGGCCCUCAGGCGCACCCAAGUGGGUUGUGCUCCCCUUGGAUCCCCCCUCUGGUAUUUCUUUGGCCCAACAGGUGUCUUCUGGUCUAGAAAAAAACUCCAAAAAGUUUCGCUGCGUUUGGACUCCGUUUGGUAUUAAUUUUCUACAAAGUAAAAAAUAAGCAAAAAACAACAACUGGCACUGGGCACUAUGUCAAUAGGUUAUUCCCAAAAAAUGAUAUAAAGUUGCUAUAAAAUGAUUGUAAAACAUCCAAGAAUGAUCAUAUAACAGUAUGGAACAAUAAAAAAUUAUAGAUACGUUGGAGACGUAUCAUGCAUCUAACUCUAUAAUGAAAAAUUCCCACUAGUAUAUGAGAGUGACAACAUAGGAGACUCUCUAUAUGAAAAACAUGGUGCUACUUUGAAGCACAAGUGUGGAAUUGGCAUGCCCCUUCUCUCUUCUAUCUCAAUUUUUUCUUUCUUUCUCUUUUUUUCUUUUCUUGGGCUCUUUUUGGCCUCAAUUUUUUUUCAUUUUUUUCAUUUUUUAAUAUUUGUCCGGAGCCUCAUCCUGACUCGUGGGGGAAUCAUAGUCUACAUUAUCCUUUACUCACUGGGACAUGCUCUAAUAGUGAAUAACGAUGAUCAUCACACUUAUAUUUACUUACAACUCAAAAGAAAUAAAAAGUACAACUCGAUACCUAGAACAAAGUAUGACUCUAUAUGAAUGCCUCUCGCAGUGUACCAAGAUGUGAAAUGAUCUAGCAUAACAACUAUAUCAAAAAAUGGACAAAACCAUGGCAAUAUCAUGCUAGCUAUCUUACGAUCAUGCAAAGCAAUAUGACGAUGAAUGCUCAAGUCAUCAAAAUGGAAGCAGUAGAAGUUGCAUGGCAAUAUAUCUCGGAAUGGCUAUGGAAAUGCCAUAAUAGGUAGGUAUGGUGGCUGUUUUCAGGAAGAUAUAACAAGGGUUAUGUGUGAUAGAGCGUAUCAUAUCACGGGGUUUGGAUGCGCCGACGAAGUUUGCACCGACUCUCGAGGUGAGAAAGGGCAAUGCAUGGUACCGUAGACGCUAGCAAACUGCGGAAAGGUAAGAGUAUGUAUAAUCCAUGGACUCACAUUAGUCAUAAAGAACUCAUAUACUUAUUGCAAAAGUUUAUUAGCCCUCGAAGCAAAGUACUAUUAUGCAUGCCCCUGGGGGAUAGAUUGGUAGGAAAAGACCAUCGCUCAUCCCCGACCGCCACGCAGAAGGAAGACAAUCAAUAACAAAUCAUGCUCCAACUUCUUAGCAUAAGGAGAGACUAUACGUGCAUGCUUCGGGAAUCAUGAACCUUAACACCAAUAUUCCUACUAACCACAACCGUUUACUAGUACCUCCCACAUAUUAUCAUGUCUAUGUCGCAAAACUAUUGCAAGGAAUCAAACCUAUCAUAUUCAGUUAUCCACAAGUUUUAUGUAGGACUUCAUGACUAACCAUGCAAAUGACCAAUUCUUCUUGACUCUCUAAACAGAUAUAAGUGAAGCAUGAGAGUUUAAUUCUUUCUAAGAAAAACCAGGCUCUAAUAAAUACAAGUGAAGCAAAAGAGCUCUACAAAUAACGGUUUUCUAUGUGAAGAGAAACAGGCAAUCCAAACUUCAAAUGAUAUAAGUGAAGCACAUGAAGCAUUCUAUAAAGCCACACUCAAAAUAUAUAAGGGAAGUGCAAUGAGCAUUCUAUAAAUCAACCAUGGACUAUUUCAUACCAGCAUGGUGCAUAAAUAAAAAUGAAAAUAAACACAAAAGACGCUUCAAGAUUUAGACAUAUCACAUGAACGAAAGGAAAACGAAAACAUACCGAUACUUGUUGAAGAAAGAUGGGAUGCCUUCCGGGGCAUCCCCAAGCUUAGAUGCUUGGGUCUCCUUGAAUAUUUACUUAGGGUGCCUUGCGCAUCCCCAAGCUUGAACUCUUGCCUCUCCUCCUUCUCCUCAUAUCGAUAUCUCCUCAAUCUUUGAACACUUCAUCCACACAAAACUUAACACAAAACUGGCGAGAUCUGUUAGUAUAAUAAUACAAAUAACUACUUUAAGUACUGUUGCAAACCAAUUCAUAUUUUUUUGCAUUAUAGCUAUUGUAUUAUAACUUCUCCAUGUCUUAGACCACUGAUAAAAUCAACAGAUUCAUCAAAAACAUAAUCUGUCUUAAACAUGACAAUCUGUAGUAAUCUGGACAUUAACCAUACUUCUAUAACUCCAAAAAUUCUUAAAAAUUAGGAAAAAAUAAACAAUUUGUAUAGCAAGAUUGUGUAGAAAUUCCAGAAACUUUUGACGUUCCAGUAAAAAAAUGUAAAAUCACACACUACAACCAAAGUUUCUGUUUUUACACUGCACAUACCAACAAGUAAUCUAAUCAUCCUAAAGGCAAAUCUUGGCACAUAAUUUUUAUAAUACAAUGGAUUUGUACAUGGGGAUAAUUAUUUUUGUUGAAAAGUUUCUGUAAUUCAAGAUUCACAAAGUUUCCAUGGGCAUAAACAAAGUUCAAGGCAUGCUCCCGCUUCCACGGUGUCCGUCUUUCUCACUUUCACUUUUCUUUUUGUGAAGUUUUAGAUUCCCCUCUACAUUUUUGUUUUGUUUUUAAACUAUAUAAAAUCACUCAAAAGAAUAAAAUGACUUCCUAAAACUUCCGGGUUGUCUCCCUAGCAGCGCUUUCUUUAAAGCCAUUAAGCUAGGCAUAAAGUGCUCAAGUAAUGGAUCCACCCAGAUCCCAAGGUAUAUCAAAGCCAAUUUUAAUAAACAAUUAUUUGACAUUUAGUAGUGAGCACAAAGCAACAUAAAAUCAUGCAAUGAUGAAAUCUAACUCUCUUCCUAUGCAUCGGCAUGUCAUAAAAGAACAAUUCAUGCACAUCAAGUAAAGGCCAACACAUAGCAUAAGCAGUUUCUUGCAAUUUUAUCGUGUUGGAAACAUAGAGAAGUGGAGAUAUAGUUCCUCUCUCAUAAUAAUGGCAAGUAGGAUCAUCAAGCACAUGCAUAUUAUAUUCAUCAAAUCAUCAUGUGCAACGGUAAAGGGCAACCCAUCAAUGUAAUCCUUAAUAAGUGCAAACUUCUCCGAUAUAGUGUAGUUUGGAGAAUUCAAAAAGAUAAUAGGACUAUCAUGCGUGGGUGCAAUGACAACAAUUUCAUUCUUAACAUAAGGAACUAUAGCAAGUUCAUAUCAAUAGGCAUAAUUCAUAUUGGCAUCUUGGCCACAAGCAUAGCAAGCAUCAAGUUCAUCAAAAAAGGGAUAUUUCAAAUGAAUCAACGGGAUCAUGGCAAUUAUCAUAGCAUUCAUCCUUUGGUAAGAACGAAGGGACAUUAAACAAUGUAUGAGUUGAAGAUUUAAUCCCAUAAGAAGGUGGGCACGAGUGAUCAAUCCGCUCUUCCUCCUUUUGUUCUUCGCUCUCCUCAUCAUCUUUUUCUUCCAAUGAGCUCACAGUUUCAUUAAUUCCUUCUUCCAUAGACUCCUGCAAAAUAUUAGUAUCUUCUUGGACAGCGAAGACUUUCUCAAUAAAUACAUCAAUAUCGGAAUUGUAUUUAUAAUUAUCAUAGAAAUAUUAAAGUAUAGCAAAAUUUUCAGGUCUAUCAACUGAAUAAUCAAAAUCUUCAUACUUCUCAAACAAAGAUUCAAUUUCAUAAGCACCCUUAAAAGCAACAAAUUCUUCUAUUCGUUCCACAUCAUAGUAAUCAUAUCUACCCUUAGCAUAAGAAGCUAAGGUUUCAUUUUGUUAAAUUUGCAUGAAAAGAGAAGGUGUGGAGCAUUCAUCCUAGAGCAACAAGUAAAAUCAUAUCUCUGGCAUAAAUUCCAAGCAUACCAAUACAACAUAUCAAUUUGAUCCCAUAACACUUUCCCUUUUUGUGUCAAGCGAUAAUCCCUAAAGUAUUCACGUUGAUCCAAUGUGUCUCCGAUUAUCAUGUUGAAUGGGGUUUCUCAGGAUUAUCAAAGUGGUGUUUAAUAUUUUUCACAUAACGAGCAACGAGGGUUUUAGGAGGUUUCCCAUAUCCAUGAGUAGCAAGUACAACUAUUUUUUUGGUAUUUCGUGUUCCAUAUCCAUAACUAAAGAUAGAUAACAACUUAGAACUGAAAAUAAAAACUACUUAGUGAUAAAGCAAACAAGCACACAUGAGAAUAUUCACCCUACGCUAUUGCUCCCUGGCAACGGCGCUAGAAAAGGUCUUGAUAACCCACAAGUAUAGGGGAUCUUUUGUAGCCUUUUUUGAUAAAUAAGAGUGUCGAACCCAACGAGGAGCUAAAGGAAGAACAAAUGUUCCCUCAAGUUCUAUCGACCACGAAUACAACUCUACGCACACUUAACGUUUGCUUUACCUAGAACAGGAACAAAACUAGAAGUACUUUGUAGGUGUGGAUAGGUUUACAAGAUAAUAAAGAACGUGAAAGUAGAAGUUAGGUUUUGUUUAAAUAAAGGAACAAUUAAGUUUGCUAAAACGAGUGUGGAUUAGUUGUGGUAGGAUUUGCGAAAUUGUCCCUUAGCAAUUGACUACGUUGCUAGACCGAUAGCAAGUUUUUAUGUGGGAGAGGCCACUGCUAGCAUGUUGUCCCUUACUUGGAAUUCUAUGCACUUAUGAUUGGAACUAUUAGCAUGCAUCCGCAACUACUAAUGUUCAUUAAGGUAAAACCUAUCCAUAGCAUUAAGAUAUAUAUUGGUCCCCUUUCAAUCCCGUAAGUAUCAAUUUCUAUGUUUAGGCUGAAGCUGCUGUCACCCUUGCCCUCCAAUGCAUAGUCCUAUCAACAUACUACUAACCCUAUGGUGUGAUCCACACACGCGCUCAUACGAUGGGCACCAAAGGAUAGCAACAUAACCGCAAGCAAAUUAAACCAACCAUAGCAAUUCAGCAAUUACCGAUAGGACAACAAAAAUAUACUCGGACAUCAUAGGAUGGCAACAUAACAUUGGAUGAUAGUAUGAAGCAUAAAGCACCAUGUUCAAGUAGAGGGUACAACGGGUUGCAGGAGAGUGGACCGCUGAAUAUAGAAGGGGGAAGGUGAUGAGGAUGUUGGUGAAGAUGACGGAGUUGCUGGAGUAGAUCGCCAUCACACGAUGAUUGCCUCGGUGGCGUUCCGGCGCCACCGGGAGAGAGCCCCCCUCCUUUUUCUUCUUCCUUGGCCUCCCCCUAGAUGGAGGAGAGUUCCCCCUCUGGUCCAUGGCCUCCAUCGCGGCGAAGGGGCGGGAGCCCCUCCAAGAUUGGAUCUCCCUCUCUGUUCUCUUCUAUUUCACGCUCCUAGUUUCUGGCCGAAAAUCGUUUCUUAUAUUCCCGGAGAUCCGUAACUCCGAUUGCGCUGAGAUUUUAACACGAUUUUUUUCCGGAUAUAAGCUUCCUUGCGCCCGAAGUAGAGCUCCAACCGACUUAUGAGGAGGGCACAACCCACCACCAUGCGCCUGGGCUGCCUGGCGCACCCAGGUGUCUUGUGGUGGCUGUGGGCCCCCUUUCUGAUGAUUCCACCUCCCCAAAAUCACAAAUAUUCCAAAAUAAUUCUCCGUAAAUUUUAUCGCGUUUGGACUUUGUUUGAUAUGGAUAUUCUGCGAAACAAAAAACAUGGAACAAAUAGGAACUGGCACUGGGCACUAGAUCAAUAGGUUAGUUUAAUAAAUCAUAUAAACUGUUGCCAAAAGUAUGUGAAAGUUGUAUAAUAUUGGCAUGAAAUAAUCAAAAAUUAUAUAUAAGACAGAACAUAUCAUGAAUCAAUAUAAUACCCCAUUGUCACCACACUUCUGCAUCCAAAACCCCUUAAACCCAGUUUCUUGCCAUGAGUGUCCACCAUACCUACAUAUGGAUUGAAUAAGAUCCUUCAAGUAAGUAGUCAUCGGUGCAUAAAGCAAUAAAAUUUGCUCCUAAAUAUGUUUGAUCUUUUAUUGUAAGGGAAAAUAAGUGUUGUACAAACUUGUGAUGGCAAAGUAAUAAAAGCGACGGGCUACAUAGUAAAGGUUGCUAUCAUAAGGGGCAGUAUAACUUGAUGUUCCUUUGCAUUCUGAGAUUGUGCAUCCAAAAAUAAAAAGCACAUGACAACCUCUGCUUCCCUCUGCGAAGGGCCUAUCUUUUACUUUUCAGUAUUUACUUUUAUGCAAGAGUCAAUAGUAUGCAUUCUCAUUUCAACCUCAAUUAUUCUCUAGCUGGCAAGCAUCAUGUGGUGGGGAAAGAUCUAGGCACAUAUGGCCAGUCAAAUAUAUUAUCAUGAUUUAUUAUUGUUGACAAUUAUCUCUAUGAUAAAUGAGUUGGGAGGUGAAACAUUAAGCCCCUAUCUUUAUCUGUGUUUGAUGGAUGCCAUUUGUUCUAAAAAUAUGCUUUGAGUACUCGCAAUCAUAGAAGACUAUAUGAUGAUAGAGUAUGUGGAGCUCUUACUUAGACUUUGUUGAAUAAGUUAAUUGCAAUUGCUUGGUGACUGAGAACAUAGGUUGUUAACUUUCAAGAGAAUACAUUGUUUGAAUCAUAACAUAUGAAUUGAUUGCUACUUUAUGAGAAAGAGUUGUUGUUAUGAUUCUAGGAUAAGUGAUUGAAAUUAUCAUUGAUCAAACUUAUGCACUAUGCUAGCAUUCACACUUUAUAAAAUAUUUCUUUUAUCAUUUACCUACUCGAGGACGAGCAGGAAUUAAGCUUGAGGAUGCUGAUAUGUCUCCAAUGUAUCUAUAAUUUAUGAAGUAUUCAUGCCAUGUUUACAACAAUUUUAUAUGGUUUUGGUAUGAUUUGAAUGGAACUAACCCGGACUGAAGCUGUUUCAGCAGAACUACCGUGGUGUUGUUUUUUGUGCAAAAAUAAAAGUUCUCCAAAUGCAGCAAAACUUUUUGAUGAUUUUUUUAACAAAAGAGACCCUCGAAGCUUUGUGGGAGGACCAGAAGAGCCACGAGGUGGCCACUACUCACCAGGGCGCGCCAACUGCCAUAGUGGUGGGCUGGUGGGUAGUGGGCACCUCGUGGCCCAUCUUCACAUGAAACUGACGCCAAUAAAUUCUAUAAAUAUAGAAACCACCAGAAAUAACCCUAGAUCAGAAGUUCCACCAUUGCAAGCCUCUCUGUAGCCACGAAAAACCUAUCUGGACCCUGUUCCGGCACCCUGCCGGAGGGGGAAAUCAUCACCGGAGGCCAUCUUCAUCAUCUCGGCAGCCACCAUGAUGAGGAGGGAGUAGUCCACCCUUGCGGCUGAGGGUUUGUACUAGUAGCUAUGUGUUUGAUCUCUCUCUCUCUCUCAUGUUCUUGAUUUGGCACGGUCUUCAUGUAUCGCGAGCUUUGUUAUUAUAGUAGGAUCAUAUGGUAUUUUCCCCUCUCUAUCUUGUUGUGAUGAAUUGAGUUCUACCUUUGAUAUUUCAUUAUUAUCGGAUUUAAUAUUUUUAUGGAUUGGAGAGCACUUGAUGUAUGUCUUGGCACUCAACUCACAAAUUCUCGAAGUGACAUUGGGGUAAUCUAUGCAUAGGGGGUGAUGCACAUUUUCAUCUUUGUUUCUCCGGUAGAAAUCUUGGGGCACUCUUUGAAGUUCUUUGUGUUGGAUUGAGUAUUAUGAAUCUGAAGUUGUUUGAUGCAUAUCGUAUAAUCAACUCAUGGAUACUCAUGGUGACAUUGGAGUAUCUAGGUGACAUUAGAGUUGGUUGAUGUGUAUCAUAUGGUGUUAUUUUAGUACGAGCUCUUGGGCUAUUUAUGACACUUAUAGGGAUAGCUCGAUAGAUCGAUCGAAAAGGAUAACUUUGAGGUGGUUUCGUACCCUACAAACAAUUGUGUCUUGUGUUCUCCGCUAGAUAAGAACUUUGGAGUUAUUCUUCAUCGCACGUUGAGGGAUGGUUAUAUCAUCCUAUUAUAUUAGCAUUGUUGAGAGAUUGCAAUAGUGAAAGUACGAAUCCUAGGCCUCAUUUUCAAGCAUUGCAAUACCAUUUGUGCUCACAUUUGUUACUUGCUACCUUGCCGUUUUGUUCCUAUUACAAAAAUUAAUAUCUACUAUCAUUACUACACUUGUAUCACCAUCUCUUCACCGAACUAGUGCACCUAUACAGAGUUGUAUUUGGUGUGUUGGGGACAGAAGAGAUUCUUUGUUAUUUGGUUGCAGAGUUGUUUGAGAGAGACCAUCUUCAUCCUACGCCUCCCACAGAUUGAUAAACCUUAGGUCAUCCACUUGAGGGAAAUUUGCUACUGUUCUACAAAACUCUAGGCUUGGAGGCCCAAUACGAGGCUACAAGAACAAGUUGUGUAGUAGAUAUCACUUGGGUCGAAGGCAAGGCACUGUCCGGAAGCGUAACAUGGUUCCCAAGGGGGAGGAAGGAUCAGAGGGACUACAUCCCUGGACAGCUCCACGGCAAGUGGGAGGAAUGGAGGGGAACCUAGUGCUGGAUCCAAGAGGAGAACUUCCUGGCAUUCUGCUUGCCGCGGAUAGAGAAUAUCAAUCAUGACGAUGAUUGGAAGAAGUACGACACGAACGAGAAGAAGCUCCGCCCGAUCCUAAACAGGAUUGCCCGACUGCGGGACGCUGGUCUGAACAUAGAGAUGGUCGGAGCUGACUUCCUGCGGCGCCGCAUCGCCCACUACAACAGUGAGACAGACCAACCUGGUUGUACCAGAAUGUCGGGGAUAAGAUGCAACUAUAUCCAUGCCGUGGCUGCAACUUGACGGUGCUGGGCCACUCCUGACUCUGCCAGCAGUUAUUCCUCAAGUUGGGCACUUUCCACUUGCCAGCCAUGAUCGUGCCGCUGCACAUCAACUCAGAGAGGAGUGUCAUCCUGGCAUGGAUGCCAGACAACUCUGUCGCAGGGGUCAAGGAAAGCUAGAAGCUACCCAAGCUGGCAGAUGAGGCAAAAUGGGCCUCCGAGCUAAAGGAGAAAGCCGAGCAAGAGGAGGACAACCUCGUCAAGGCACCACGGCAGAAGAAGCAGCAUACAUAGCCAACAGGGUUGCCGAGGCCCGGAGGCAGGCGACCGCCAAGGCCACAAGUGCCGAAAAUGUUGGUGAAGAAGAGGAAGGAAAUGAAGAGGAUGAUGAGGAGGACGAUGAAGAGCCUGCCGAAGAAGGGCAAGAGGGGCUUUCCGGGGAUGAGGUUGCCGGGUCAGAGGCGACUGGAAACCCCAAUGAGGAGGAAUUCCAGGUCUUGGAGCCACCGCGGCGUCUCCGCAGCAGGAGCAACCAAGAGCGCGCAGGUACUCCUCCGCCCCGAUCCGCUCCCGUGACGAGGAAGUCUACCACCAAGACCGGGAAGCAUGAGGUAAUACGCUGGCAGCCAGCACGGUAGGUCAAGCGCAAGCCUCCGUCUUCCCGGGAAGAACUCACCAGGGAGGAUGAGAUCUUGCUCCCGCCAAGCUCGCCGCCACCAGCUAUCAAGAGAGCCAGGGAGUCUCCGCCGUCGUCCCAGUACAAAAUGAGCAUCCUCCUUGAAUCUGAUGAUGAGUAAGCGAUUUUUUGCCUCUUUCUGUUAUGUCUCAAUUCAUCCCUUUUGUUGGUUUUGAUCUGGUAUUUCUAUUGUUUCGGGGAGGAAGAGCCGCUCAUCCAGCGGGCGAAGAGGGCCAAGCCAUUGGCGGGUCAUGGUUCGCCGUCAAGGGACAGGCAGGAAAUGACAAUGACUGAUACGAUAGUCACCAGCCCCCAGGCUAGCCCCCUUCUCCGGGACGGGACACCAUCUUAGACGGCUACCCCUGAUGCUGAGGAUCAUCCUUCCGCAGACGACAAGGAGAUGGGAGGGGAACACCAAGGCAAGGAGCACCAAGAAGUAGAUCCUACCAAGGGGGCCCCUUCAACUAUUAUCCCCGGGGAAACUUCUCUGGCAAGGGCCUCCACCGACGACUACGUUCACACCGGCAUCUCCCCGACGAGGGAGGACAUCGAGGGCCACGUGCCGGCAACGCAAGUUGCCAGGGGAGGGGAUGACCCUUCCCAACAAGUACAACCGGGUAACGUCUUGUUGCAGAGCCAUUUCCAUAAGAAUUUUCUUUGGUUUCCAUUUGUGAUUUGCACCACAUUCUUUCUUUCUUGUAUCUUGGUUUUCAGCCCCAACUUCUCCCGCGGGAGGUGACAAGCUCAUGGAGGUAGCCGUCAUUGCCAAAGCCGCUGCCGAAGAGGCCACCAAGAUUGCCGCCGUAGAAAAUCCUGAGCGUACUAACGGGAACAUCCAAGAGGCCCAUGCAGCGAUGGAGGAGGCCUCCGGCAACCAGUCCGAGCCCGCCAGGAUGGACGUAGAUGCGGCACACACCAUUGACCCAUCGCCAGUGUUUGUUGAGCAACCAGUGUCAGCGGCCCCGCCAAUCCCGCCAACCAGCACAGAGACGGUGACCUUUCAAGCCAAUCUUGGAGGCCCCAGCUCAUUUGUCACUACUGAACUAAACUUUGAAGAAGAAGUCGCUCGAAUCUUGCUUCCCUUGGCCCAACAGUCUACAGAUGCUGAAGACAUUGCCAAUGAGCAAGAGGACUAUGUGUUCUUGCAGGCCAUGGCCGCAGGGUUCAAGGACGCCCAAGACAGGUGAUACGUCUCCAACUUAUCUAUAAUUUAUGAAGUAUUCAUGUUGUUAUAUUAUCAUUCUUCGAUGUUUUACAAUCAUUUUGUAGCAACUUUAUAUCAUUUUUUGGGACUAACCUAUUAACCCAGUGCCCAUGCCAGUUGUUUUUUUGCUUGUUUUUUACAUUGCAGGAAAUCAAUAUCAAACGGAGUCCAAACACCGUGAAACUUUUUGUGGAUUUUUUAUGGACCAGAAGACAUCCAGUGGGCCGGAGAAGCACCUGGGGGGUGCCUCGAGGGGGGCACAGCCCGCCAGGGUGCGCCUGGGGCCCAGGCGGGCCCAGGUGGGUUGUGCCCAUCUCGGUGGCCUCCCGCACCCCCUCUUUACCCUAUAAAUUCCCAAAUAUUCCAAGAACCCUCGGGGUUAACCUAGAUCAGAAGUUCCGCCACCGCAGGCCUUUGUAGCCACCGAAAACCAAUCUAGACCCCGUUCCGACACCCUGUCGGAGGGGGGAAUCAUCACUGGUGGCCAUCUUCAUCAUCCCGGCCACCACGAUGAGGAGGGAGUAGUCCACCCUUGGGGCUGAGGGUUUGUACCAAUAGCUAUGUGUUUAAUCUCUCUCUCUCUCUCUCUCUCUCUCUCGUGUUCUUGAGAUGUCACGAUCUUGAUGUAUCGCGGGCUUUGUUAAUAUAGUUGGAUCAUAUGGUGUUUUCCCCUCUUUAUCUUGUUGUGAUGAAUUGAGUUUUCCCGGUGAGAUUUUGUUUUAUCGGAUUGAAUACUUUUAUGGAUUUGAGAGCACUUGAUAUAUGUCUUGCAUAUGAAUACUCAUGGUGACAAUGGGGUAUCAUAUUGAUUCACUUGAUAUGUGUUUUGGCACUCAACUCGCAGAUUUCCGAGGUGACAUUAGGGUAAUCUACGCAUAGGGGUUGAUGCACGUUCUUGUCUUUUGUUUCUCCGGUAGAAAUCUUGGGGCACUCUUUGAGGUUCUUGUGUUGGAUUGAGUAUUAUGAAUCUGAAAUUGCUGUGGUGUUAUUUUAGUACGAACUCUUGAUAGAUCGAUCGGAAAGAAUAACUUGGUGUUAUUUUAGUACGAACUCUAGAUAGAUCGAUCGGAAAGAAUAACUUGGUGUUAUUUUAGUACGAACUCUUGGAUAGAUCGAUCAAAAAUAAUAGCUACAAACAAUUCUUCUUAUGUUCUCCGCUAGAUAGGAACUUUGGAGUGAUUCUUCAUCACACUUUGAGGGAUGGUUAUGUGAUCCAAUUAUAUUAGCAUUGUUGGGAGAUUGAACUAGUGAAAUUACGGACCCUAGGCCUCAUUUUCAAGCAUUGCAAUAUCGUUUGUGCUUCAUUUUAUCAAUUGCUACCUUACUGUUUUUAUUGUUCCUAUUACAAAAAUCAAUAUCUACUAUCAUUACUACGCUUGUAUCACCAUCUCUUCGCCGAACUAGUGCACCUAUACAAAUUACCAUUGUAUUUGGUGUGUUGGGGACACAAGAGACUUUUUAUUAUUUGGUUGCAGGGUUGUUUGAGAGAGACCAUCUUCAUCCUACGCCUCCCACGGAUUGAUAAACCUUAGGUCAUCCACUUGAGAGAAAUUUGCUACUGUCCUACAAAACUCUGCGCUUGGAGGCCCAACACGUGUCUACAAUAAUAAAGUUGCGUAGUAGACCUCAAGCUCUUUUCUGGCGCCGUUGCUGGGGAGGCUAGGUAAGAGACACUCACACCCCAUCAACGAAGCUCUUUUCUGGCGCUGUUGCCGGGGAGGUGAGUGCAUGAAGGUAUAUCUUUAGAUCUUGCAAUUGAAUCUUUAGUUUCAUGUUUUAUCACUAGUUUGGUUUAUAAAAGAAAACUACAAAAAUGGAAUUGAGGUUGCAUCAUAUUAUUCAUCUUUAUAAUGUCUUUCAUGAAAAUGAUGGAAAGGAAAAUUGUGCUCAAUUGAUAGAAGAAGAAUUCAACAGAAUGUUUGGUAUAAAUGAUGAGCAUGAUUGCAAUGUUGUUAGUAUGAAUUCUUUGAAUAUCCAUGAUGCUAAUGAUAUGCAAAGCCAUAAGCUUAGGGAUGCUAUGUUUGAUGAAUAUGAUAUUUUUAGUCCCCCAAGAUUUUAUGUGCAAAUUUGUUAUAAUGAUUGCAUGCCUCCUAUUUAUGAUGAUUAUAAUGAUGAAAGUGGAUUUGGAGAGGUCAUGACCUUAUUUAGUGAUGAAUCCACCAUUUUGGAUGAGGCUUCAAUUGACUAUGAUAACAAAGUUGCUAUCUAUGAUGAUUAUGGUGAUGACAUGUAUGCUAUAAAGAAUAAUGAUAACCAUGAAACUUGUCAUCAUGAUUUUAAUUUUCACUCUCAUGAUAGUUAUUUUGUUGAGUUUGCUCCCACUACUAUUGAUGAGAAGAAAUUUGCUUACGUGGAGAGUAAUAAGUUUUCUAUGAUUUUGUGUCAUGAAAAGAAUGCUUUAUGUGAUGGUUAUAUUGUUGAAUUUAUUCAGGAUGCUACUGAAAAUUAUUAUGAGGGAGGAACUUAUGCUUGUAGGAAUUGCAAUAAUAUCAAGUUUCCUCUCUAUGUGUUGAAAGUUUUGAAGUUAUGCUUGUUUUGCCUUCCUAUGCUAGUUGAUUCUUGUUCCCAUGAAUUGUUGCUCACAAAAUCCCUAUGCAUAGGAAGUGGGUUAGACUUAAAUGUGUUUGCCAUGUGGUUCAUGAUGCUACCGUUAUGUUUCAAUUCUUUACUUCUAUGUGAGCAUCAUUGAAGUCAUCAUGCCUAGCUAAAAGGCAUUAAAGAAAAACACUUGUUGGGAGAAAACCAACACUUUUACCUACUGUUUUUUGUGUUCACAUGAUUAAGCUACUGUAGUAAUCAUGUUUUAUAGGUUUUAUUUCAAUAAAGUGCCAAGUAAAGCCUUUGGGAUAGUGUGGAUGAUAGUUGACUUGCUUCUGUGCAAAAAACAGAAACUUCUGCGUCCAGUGCAGGAAUUCUUAUAUUUUACUGGAAUGUGGAAAAAUUCUGAUUUUUUUUUACUAUUGAUGUGUAUACAAAUUCUCUACGUUGCCCUAAUUUUUCAGAAUUUUUGGAGUAGUAGAAGUAUGGUAGUUAUCCAGAUUACUACAGACUGUUAUGUUUUUGACAGAUUUUGUUUUCAAUGCAUAGUUUCUAUGGCUUAUAUUGCUCAGUAUAAAUUGUGGAAAUGAUAUGCUACAGUAGGCAUUGUGUGGAAACAAUUAUGAAUCUUGUCUUUGACAGUACCAAAGUGGAAUGGUUUGCUCUUUAUCAUACUAACCUACACUGGUAUGGGUCGGUGCUAUACAAACGGUUUUCAACCCCUUUCCGCGACGGCGUUCGGAACCGUCACCUAGUGAGUGUGGGUGAUAGGGGGGUCCUUCCCACACGACCCAGAAACCGUCGGGGAUAUGCCCUCCUGGCACACACGCUCGGCAAAAUGAGGCCGUGUGCGACCGGCGAGCACUCAAAUACAGAAAUACGUACAAUAGUGCUAAAAAAUACAAUUAUACAGGUGAAAUCAUUUCCGGUCGUAAGUACAUCCCACACAGUCAGUCACCGCUAAACGUUUCCGUUCGUAUAUACAUCCCACACAGUCACUCCAAGGAAAACGUUUGCGCAAGGUGGCGUAACGCAAACAGUUUUCAAGAGAAUGUCGUGUGUGAUUGUUUAUUGAUCCAACACGGUUUAUUCCUAGAAACUGUGUGCGUUGCCUGAGGUCAUUGCCCACGGUGUUUUCUCAAUAACCGUUUGCAAUAGGAAAACCCAAUUAGCAAGCUAAUUGGCCAAUUAUCGGGCUAAUUGCCCUAUUAUUAAUAAUCCAUUUACUAAUCUAAUUGGCAUUCAUAUUAAGCACAUAAUAUAUUCCAUUUCCAUAUUAAGGAAGCAGGAUUUCGUAAUUGAAAUACAUUGGAGUACAACAUUAUAUAGCUUCAGCACUCAGCUACCCCAUUACACAACUGCACCAGCAACAAGUUUCACAUGCAACAUCUAGAACCUUUCGAAAUUAGCAUCAUAGACGGUACAUAGAGAGAUGCAUCUCAUCUGGAAAACUGCUGAAGCGGAAGGCGAAUAUUGAGCCUUCAUUCAUGUUGAAGGUCUUUGCAACUUUAGGCCAGUGUCUGUGGAUGAUUGACCGUCCAUCCUUCGACCUCUUCAAGAACACUUAAAUAUUGAACCGUGGGUGUUGUAUGAAAACUUUCCCCGCCUCCUGACCACAGAGGUGGUUUGAGAGGUAAUCAUUAGUGAAGCCUGAAAACAAGGAUGUGCAUAAAUAUCUUCUCUAUAUUGGAAAUGGGGCAAAGGAAUAAAAAAAGCAAGGUAUAAAAGUUAGUACCAUUUGUAAACCUCAGUGCUUCCCAUUGUUUCCCUGCAACACAUAUAAGGUAGUUAGUCAUCAGGUUAAGUAAGGGUUCACAUGCUAUCAAUAAAAUAUGUUGAUUAUAAAUAAGCACAUUGCAGAUUCAUCAGAUUAAUUCAAGCCACAUGGAAAACCAUUUAUCCAAACCAAGCAUGAUUAAGAACUAGGAAAUAUAGCACUUGUAUAUGUUUCUCAUGUAUUAAGUGCAGCCAAAUUCGAUUUAUUCCUCACAUGGUAUACAAUAACAGAAUGCAGCCACAACAAUUGAACAUCGCAUUGCAGAAUUGAACCAAGCAGUUAACUAAACACCACAACAAAUGAACCAAACGUUAAGUGAGCACCACAUUGCACAAUAUAACAUACUCCUAAUAGAAGAUCAGACAGUUAACCAAACCAAGCAUGCUUAACAACUUGGAAAUAUAGCAAUUAUAUUUGUUUCUCAUGUAUUUAGUACAGCCAAAAUCGAUUUAUUUCUCAGAUGGUAUACAAUAACAGAAUGCAGCCACAACAAUUGAACAUCGCAUUGCAGAAUUGAACCGAGCAGUUAACUAAACACCACAACAAAUGAACCAAACAUUAACUGUGCACCACAUUGCACAAUAUAACAUACUCGUAAUAGAAGAUUAGACAGUUAACCAAACCAAGCAUGCUUAACAACUUGGAAAUAUUGCACCCUGAAGAAUUGGACAUCACAUUUGCAGAAUUGAACCAAGCAGUUAACUGAACACCACAUUGCACGACAUAUACAACAUAUACACUAUAGCAGAAGAUUGCAUGGUAAAAAGUAGAUAGCACAAUUCACUAGAAUUUGUUAAGGAAAGACAGUAGCUAGCAAACUGAACAUGGGUCCUUAUAGUGAGCUAAUAAGACAAGCUACUCCUCAUUGUCGGAGAUAUCAAUGACGAUUGGCUCCUUGUACAUGGAAGAGGGCGAGGCCUCCGCAUCAUGGGUGCCCUCAUUGUAGUGGUGAGUUGCCUAAGCUGCUCCGGGCACCAACCUGUUGGCUCUCGAGAUGAGGUAAGCACGUGCACGCUGAGAAAACACCUCGUAGUCUUCGUCGAAGGCACCGACGGUGGCCUCAAGAAAACGCCACGAACUGUCGUUUAAAGCAGCCAACCGUGUCGCGGCGUCGGUGCGUGAGGCAUAAACGGUGGCCUCGACGGUGAGGUGCUCCUCCAAGAUCUGGGGGUCGGCACGAAUGGCAGCCAUCGCGACCUCAUCCGCGCGUGCCGCCGCGAUUUGCUUCUCCGCUGCAAAUGCUCCUUGAGAUCCUGGCUAUACUGCAUGCACCAUGGCUUAGGCCGGCGCUUAUUUGGUGGAGGGGUUGGUGAUUUGGGUGGAAGGUGUCGCGCUCGCGCCGGUGGUCGGGGCAUGUGGGAUGUGGAAGGGGGAGGAGGAUGGGGGUCGGGUGUGGAUUACCUGCCUGGAUAGGCGAGGCCGAGCAGCGUGAAGGAGGGUCGCCGGUGAGGAGGCGGUGCUGCAAGCAAGGAGUGAAGGUUUCAACUUGGAAAGGAAGGCGGAAACAUGGGAAAUGUAGCUUUUGGAAAGGGGGAGGGGGGCGGGGAGGAAGAUAUUUCCGCAGAAGCCGAAAAUUUGGAAUCGCUUCAGCGAAAAAACUGGCGCGCAAAGUGUCAUCAGACAUGGUCCCUUAUUCAGAGUGGGCUAUGGACUGUAGCCAUCGCACCUUCUCGCGUAAGCCAUGUGCGUACUAUACUCCGACGGUGCUCUAAGAUAUUUUGUGUUGCAUCUCACAUGGUUGGUUAUAAUAAACUGUGUGGGAUCUACUUGAUUUUUCGUCUUGAUUUGAAUUACUGUCGGAGUAAAUGGCCACAGGUAGCCUAACCGACUCCCCCUGGCUCUUUGAAAAAUUAUCAGGCCGAUCGAGCCUUCAAGCAUCCAAAGCACAGGGCCGCCUUCCCCUGGCCGGCUAUCUCACGAGCCGACUCCUGGACGGUGACCCGGCCCUAUAAACCUUCCCGAAGAGAACCUUCCCAAGGGUGCCGACUCCCAGAAGCCGGCCACAAGAUGACCGACUCCCAGAAGCCGGCCAAGAUUGCGCCCUCAAGGGCUGCACCCUUAUAACGGUGACGAGACGGGACGUGGCUACAGUACAGCCUGCCACCCCCCGAAUCCUGGAGCACGCGUGGCCACAGUGCGCCGUACGGGUCGGCCAUCCCCCGUCCGGCGCGGCACUGUUGCCAUGUUGACCAUGACGCCACCCACGAUAGGCGCCAGUACGGCCCGCGGGCGGCGGGCCCCUUCAGCCAGAGAGACGCUCGAAGGCGGCCAAGCCUCCCCCAGUCGGCCUGAGGCGUAGCCGGCUCCCAAUAGCCGGCUACCUCCCUCCCUCAAAGUAUGUGCAUCAUUAAGGAGACAAGACGAGGUAAGGCUACAGUGAGAGCCCGCCAGGCGGCGGCACUGUAGCCAUGCUUACCUCGACAAAGCCCUCGUCAUCAGGGGCGAGGCAACAGUAGCUAUCCACCGACGAGACCCCCAGGCGGUGGGGCCGGCCUGUCGGCCAAGAGGCCGGCAGCCGGCGGGACCCACCAGUCGGCGGAGAAGCCGGCGAACACAGACACUGACGGCUGGGACCCGCGCCCAGCCGGAUUACCAUUGUAUCCCUGGGGGGUAGGCCUAUAUAAACCCCCCAGGGCACCCAUGCAAAGGGUUGAUCUCUGAGAGUUCUAGACACCACAUAGAGAGAAAAGGAGAGCUAGCCUUGCCCUUCUUCUUCCUCUAGCAAAACAGCUCAAGGAGCACUUGUAGCUACUUGUGUUGAUCUAGUGAUCAUGCGGAGACCCCGCAGAGCAGGAUUAGGGGUGUUAUCUCCACGGAGAGCCCCGAACCUGGGUAAGAUCCGCCGGCGUGCAUGUCUUCGCCUUAUCCCAUUUCCAGGCACCGACGAUGUCUUACUGGCUCCCACAAUGAUAAGCCACCCGUUGGCAUAUGUCGCACCUACCACCCGACAUUUGGCGCCCACCAUGGGGCCAGGUGCACCGUCGUACGGAGAGCUGUUCUGGACGGGAACCCUUUUCCUCCCCCGCGAGCAUAGCCAGCCCGCCACGCCCGAUGGCGCUUGCCCCGACGCGCUGCAAGACGUCGACGACGCCUGCGCGGCGAGCUGCCUCGCCGAUCUUCUUGGCGAGGCUCGCAUCUCCGACGAGCCUGCGUCCGACGCGGGCACAGACUGCCCCGAGAGCCGCCUCGUCAGCCUCCUCGACCAGCUCCACGUCUCCAGCGAGCUUGCUGUGGACUUGGAGUUGGUCGGCUCCACCGACCCGAUGCUGGUCGACUCCGACACGGCGUCGCUUGACGCCUUCCCCACCAACGUGGUGAUCAUCAACGACCCUCUCCCUCGAGCCGAUAGUGGCAGCAGCGCUGUCACUGAGGUGCUGGUCAUCAGCCACGGCGCCGUCUCAGGCGAGAACGCCCAUGACGCCCUACAAGCGGCUGCACGACUUAUCCGUCCCCAUCCCGGCCGGCGCCGACGCCGAGACUCUGGAGGCACGCCGCCUCGCCCUCGUCGCGGAAGGCCAGAAGAUAUCAUCCAUCAGACGCCUCACUGAGGCUCACCAACGCGAAGUCGACCGCGCCGCCUUUGGCACGCCGCCUCCUGGCGGGCCGAGCCGAGCCGGCUUCGUCAAGAAGCGCGGCGCAGCCAUCGCCAGCAUGCUAGGAGCAGACCGCCCAGUCUACGCCACGCCGCUCCAGAACCUGCGUGCCGCCCAGGCGGCCGCAGACGAGCUGAACGGGCUGGGGGCCGACGAGCUUCCCUACAUGACUAGACGCAUCCAGCAGCUGAUCGACGCGGCUGCAGAGCGGCAUGAAGCCAGCGCCCGCGCUGAAAGUCCUCACCCACGCCGAGAGCACGACGCGACAUCCCGGACGCCGACUGCAGACGGCGCCCGCGCAAGAAAAGACAAGGAGUCGGCUGCUAGCAGCAGUCGGACUCGGCUCACCAUCGAGCGUGACGCAGAAGGCCGCCCCCGAGCUGUGGAACGACGAGGCGAUCCGCCUCCUCCCCCGCCUCGUGGGGAGAGAUAUCCCACCCCGCCGUCUGUUACGCAUCCGACUCUCGGCGGCCGACUGGGCCACCGCGAAGGAGUCGGCGAGAGUGACGCCCGCCACCGGAUCAACCGCCUAGCGCGAUCCCUGGCGCUAGAAGAAGAUGAUGUCGGCCCGCCUUGCUUUGGCCCCCGCAUCCGCGACGAGCCCUUCCCCAAAGGGUUCUCACUCCCAAGAGACACGCUGAAAUACAACGGCUCCAUGAAGCCGGAAGACUAGUUAAUCGACUACUCCACCGCAGACCGCAUAGCAAACGGCAACAGGCGCGUUGCCGUGAAAUACGUCCCGCUCAUGCUUCAAGGCACGACACGCACUUGGCUGAACAGCCUCAAGCCCUACUGAAGGAAAUAUGCCCUAGAGGCAAUAAUAAAGUUAUUAUUUAUUUCCUUAUAUCAUGAUAAAUGUUUAUUAUUCAUGCUAGAAUUGUAUUAACCGGAAACUUGAUACAUGUGUGAAUACAUAGACAAACAGAGUGUCACUAGUAUGCCUCUACUUGACUAGCUCGUUGGUCAAAGAUGGUUAUGUUUCCUAGCCAGACAUGAGUUGUCAUUUGAUUAACGGGAUCACAUCAUUAGGAGAAUGAUGUGAUUGACUAAACCCAUUCCGUUAGCUUAGCACUCGAUCGUUUAGUAUGUUGCUAUUGCUUUCUUCAUGACUUAUACAUGUUCCUAUGACUAUGAGAUUAUGCAACUCCCGUUUACCGGAGGAACACUUUGUGUGCUACCAAACGUCACAACGUAACUGGGUGAUUAUAAAGGUGCUCUACAGGUGUCUCCAAUGGUACUUGUUGGGUUGGCGUAUUUCGAGAUUAGGAUUUAUCACUCCGAUUGUCGGAGAGGUAUCUUUGGGCCCACUCAGUAAUACACAUCACUAUAAGCCUUGCAAGCAUUGUGACUAAUGAGUUAGUUGCGGGAUGAUGUAUUACGGAACGAGUAAAGAGACUUGCCGGUAACGAGAUUGAACUAGGUAUCGAGAUACCGAUGAUCGAAUCUCGGGCAAGUAACAUACCGAUGACAAAGGGAACAACGUAUGUUGUUAUGCGGUCUGACCGAUAAAGAUCUUCGUAGAAUAUGUGGGAACCAAUAUGAGCAUCCAGGUUCCGCUAUUGGUUAUUGACCGGAGAGGUGUCUCGGUCAUGUCUACAUAGUUCUCGAACCCGUAGGGUCCGCACGCUUAACGUUACGAUGACAGUUUUAUUAUGAGUUUAUGUAUUUUGAUGUACCGAAGGAGUUCGGAGUCCCGGAUGAGAUCAGGGACAUGAUGAGGAGUCUCGAAAUGGCCGAUACGUAAAGAUCGAUAUAUUGGACGACUAUAUUCGGACUUCGGAAAGGUUCCGAGUGAUUUGGGUAUUUUUCGGAGUACCGGAGAGUUACGGGAAUUCGUAUUGGGCCUUAAUGGGCCAUACGGGAAAGGAGAGAAAGGCCCCAAAGGGAGGCUGCACCCUCCCCAUGGACUAGUCCGAAUUGGACUAGGGAGGGGGGGCGCCCCCUUCCUUCUUUCUCCUUCUCCCUUCCCUUUUCCUACUCCAACAAGGAAAGGAGGAGUCCUACUCCCGGUGGGAGUAGGACUCCCCCCUUGGCGCGCCCUCCUCCUUGGCCGGCCGCCUCCCCCUUGCUCCUUUAUAUACGGGGGCAGGGGGGCACCCCAUAGACACAACAAUUGAUCUAUUGAUCUCUUAGCCGUGUGCGGUGCCCCCCUCCACCAUAUUACACCUCGAUAAUAUCGUUGCAGAGCUUAGGCGAAGCCCUGCGUCGGUAGAACAUCAUCAUCGUCACCACGCCGUCGUGCUGACGAAACUCUCCCUCAACACUCGGCUGGAUCGGAGUUCGAGGGACGUCAUCGAGCUGAACGUGUGCUGAACUCGGAGGUGCCGUGUGUUCGGUCGGAUCGUGAAGACGUACGACUACGUCAACCACGUUGUGUUAACGCUUCCGCUUUCGGUCUACGAGGGUACGUGGACAACACUCUCCCCUCUCGUUGCUAUGCAUCACCAUGAUUUUGCGUGUGCGUAGGAAUUUUUUUGAAAUUACUACGUUCCCCAACAGUGGCAUCCGAGCCUGGUUUUAUGCGUUGAUGUUAUGCACGAGUAUAACACAAGUGAGUUGUGGGCGAUAUAAGUCAUACUGCUUACCAGCAUGUCAUACUUUGGUUCAGCGGUAUUGUGAGAUGAAGCAGCCCGGACCGACAUUACGCGUACGCUUACGCGAGACUGGUUUCAUCGUUGCGAGCACUCGUUGCGAGCACUCGUUGCUUAAAGGUGACUGGCGGGUGUCUGUCUCUCUCACUUUAGUUGAACCGAGUGUGGUUACGCCCGGUCCUUGCGAAGGUUAAAACAACACCAACUUGACAAACUAUCAUUGUGGUUUUGAUGCGUAGGUAAGAACGGUUCUUGCUAAGCCCAUAGCAGCCACGUAAAACUUGCAACAACAAAGUAGAGGACGUCUAACUUGUUUUUGCAGGGCAUGUUGUGAUGUGAUAUGGUCAAGACAUGAUGCUAUAUUUUAUUGUAUGAGAUGAUCAUGUUUUGUAACCGAGUUAUCGGCAACUGGCAGGAGCCAUAUGGUUGUCGCUUUAUUGUAUGAAAUGCAAUCGCCAUGUAAUUGUUUUACUUUAUCACUAAGCGGUAGCGAUAGUCGUAAAAGCAAUAGUUGGCGAGACGACAACGAUGCUACGAUGGAGAUCAAGGUGUCGCCCCAGUGACGAUGGUGAUCAUGACGGUGCUUCGGAGAUGGAGAUCACAAGCACAAGAUGAUGAUGGCCAUAUCAUAUCACUUAUAUUGAUUGCAUGUGAUGUUUAUCUUUUAUGCAUCUUAUCUUGCUUUGAUUGACGGUAGCAUUAUAAGAUGAUCCCUCACUAAAUUAUCAAAGUAUAAGUGUUCUCCCUGAGUAUGCACCGUUGCGAAAGUUCUUCGUGCCGAGACACCACGUGAUGAUCGGGUGUGAUAGGCUCUACGUUCAAAUACAACGGGUGCAAAACAGUUGCACACGCGGAAUACUCAGGUUAAACUUGACGAGCCUAGCAUAUGCAGAUAUGGCCUCGGAACACGGAGACCGAAAGGUCGAGCGUGAAUCAUAUAGUAGAUAUGAUCAACAUAGUGAUGUUCACCGUUGAAACUACUCCAUCUCACGUGAUGAUCGGACAUGGUUUAGUUGAUAUGGAUCACGUGAUCACUUAGAGGAUUAGAGGGAUGUCUAUCUAAGUGGGAGUUCUUAAGUAAUAUGAUUAAUUGAACUUAAAUUUAUCAUGAACUUAGUCCUGAUAGUAUUUUUGCAAAUUAUGUUGUAGAUCAAUAGCUCGCGUUGUUGCUUCCCUGUGUUUAUUUUUGAUAUGUUCCUAGAGAAAAUUAUGUUGAAAGAUUUUAGUAGCAAAGAUGCGGAUUGGAUCCGUGAUCUGAGGAUUAUCCUCAUUGCUGCACAGAAGAAUUAUGUCCUUGAUGCACCGCUAGGUGACAGACCUAUUGCAGGAGCAGAUGCAGACGUUAUGAACGUUUGGCUAGCUCAAUAUGAUGACUACUUGAUAGUUUAGUGCACCAUGCUUAACGGCUUAGAAUCGGGACUUCAAAGACGUUUUGAACGUCAUGGACCAUAUGAGAUGUCCCAGGAGUUGAAGAUUAAUAUUUCAAGCAAAUACCCGAGUUGAGAGAUAUGAAGUCUCCAACAAGUUCUAUAGCUAAAAGAUGGAGGAGAAUAAGCUCAAGCAGUGAGCAUGUGCUCAGAUUGUCUGGGUACUACAAUCGCUUGAAUCAAGUGGGAGUUAAUCUUCCAGAUAAAAUAGUGAUUGACAGAAUUCUCUAGUCACCAUCACCAAGUUAGUAGAACUUCGUGAUGAACUAUAGUAUGCAAGGGAUGACGAAAGUAAUUCCCGAGCUCUUCGUGAUGCUGAAAUCGACGAAGGUAGAAAUCAAGAAAAACAUCAAGUGUUGAUGGUUGACGAGACCACUAGUUUCAAGAAAAGGGUAAAGAGAAGAAGGGGAACUUCAAGAAGAACGGCAAGCAAGUUGCUGCUCAAGUGAAGAAGCCUAAGUCUGGUACUAAGCCUGAGACUAAGUGCUUCUACUGCAAAGGGACUGGUCACUGGAAGCGGAACUACCCCAAGUAUUUGGUGGAUAAGAAGGAUGGCAAAGUGAACAAAGGUAUAUUUGAUAUACAGAUUAUUGAUGUGUAUUUUACUAGUGUUCAUAGCAACCCCUCGGUAUUUGAUACUGGUUCAGUUGCUAAAGAGUAGUAACUCGAAACGGGAGUUGCAUAAUGAACAGAAACUAGUUAAGGAUGAAGUGACGAUGUGUAUUGGAAGUGGUUCCAAGAUUGAUAUGAUCAUCAUCGCACACUCCCUAUACUUUCGGGAUUAGUGUUGAACCUAAAUAAGUGUUAUUUGGUGUUUGCGUUGAGCAUGAAUAUGAUUUGAUCAUGUUUAUUGCAAUACGGUUAUUCAUUAAGUUAGAGAAUAAUUGUUGUUCUGUUUACAUGAAUAAAACCUUAUACGGUUACACACCCAAUGAAAAUGGUUCGUUGGAUCUCAAUCGUAGUGAUACACAUAUUCAUAAUAUUGAAGCCAAAAGAUGCAAAGUUAAUAAUGAUAGUGCAACUUAUUUGUGGCACUGCCGUUUAGGUCAUAUUGGUGUAAAGCGCAUGAAGAAACUCCAUGCUGAUGGGCUUUUGGAAUCACUUGAUUAUGAAUCACUUGAUGCUUGCGAACCAUGCCUUAUGGGCAAGAUGACUAAGACUCCGUUCUCCGGAACAAUAGAGUGAGCAACUGACUUAUUGGAAAUAAUACAUACUGAUGUAUGCGAUCCGAUGAGUGUUGAGGCUCGCGGCGGGUAUCGUUAUUUUUCUGACCUUCACAGAUGAUUUGAGCAGAUAUGGGUAUAUCUACUUGAUGAAACAUAAGUCUGAAACAUUUGAAAAGUUCAAAGAAUUUCAGAGUGAAGUGGAAAAUCAUCGUGACCUGAUCGCGGAGACAAAUAUUUGAGUUACGAGUUUGGUCUUCAAUUAAAACAAUGUGAAAUAGUUUCACUACUCACGCCACCUGGAACACCACAGUGUAAUGGUGUGUCCGAACAUCGUAACCGUACUUUAUUAGAUAUGGUGCGAUAUAUGAUGUCUCUUACCGAUCUACCACUAUCGUUUUGGGGUUAUGCAUUAGAGACAGCUGCAUUCACGUUAAAUAGGGUACCAUCUAAAUCCAUUGAGACGACAUCUUAUGAACUGUGGUUUGGCAAGAAACCAAAGUUGUCGUUUCUUAAAGUUUGGGGUUGCGAUGCUUAUGUGAAAAAGUUUCAUCCUGAUAAGCUCAAACCCAAAUCGGAGAAAUGUGUCUUCAUAGGAUACCCAAAGGAGACAGUUGGGUACACCUUCUAUCACAGAUCCGAAGGCAAGACAUUCGUUGCUAAGUAUGGGUCCUUUCUAGAGAAGGAGUUUCUCUCGAUAGAAGUGAGUGGGAGGAAAGUAGAACUUGAUGAGGUAACUGUACCUGCUCCCUUAUUGGAAAGUAGUUCAUCACAUAAAUUAGUUCCUGUGACUACUACACCAAUCAGUGAGGAAGCUAAUGAUGAUGAUCAUGGAACUUCAGAUCAAGUUAUUACUAAACCUCGUAGGUCAGCCAGAGUAAGAUCCGCACCAGAGUGGUACGGUAAUCCUGUUCUGGAGGUUAUGUUACUAGACCAUGACGAACCUAUGAACUAUGAAGAAACGAUGGUGAGCCCAGAUUCCGCAAAAUGGCUUGAGGCCAUGAAAUCUGAGAUGAGAUCCAUGUAUGAGAACAAAGUAUGGACUUUGAUUGACUUGCCCAAUGAUUGGCGAGCCAUUGAGAUUAAAUGGAUCUUCAAGAGGAAGACGGACGCUGAUAGUAGUGUUACUAUCUGCAAAGCUAGAAUUUUUGCAAAAGGUUUUCGACAAGUUUAAGGUGUUGACUACGAUGAGAGUUUCUCACUCGUAUCUAUGCUUAAGUCUGUCCGAAUCAUGUUAGAAAUUGCCGCAUUUUAUGAAAUCUGGCAAAUGGAUAAACAAAACUGCAUUCCUUAAUGGAUUUAUUAAAGAAGAGUUGUAUGUGAUGCAACCAGAAGGUUUUGUCAAUCCUAAAGGUGCUAACAAAAUAUGCAAGCUCCAGCGAUCCAUCUAUGGACUGGUGCAAGCAUCUCGGAGAUGGAAUAUACGCUUUGAUAAGUUGAUCAAAGGAUAUAGUUUUAUACAGACUUGCGGUGAAACCUGUAUUUACAAGAAAGUGAGUGGGAGCACUACGGCAUUUCCGAUAAGUAUAUGUGAAUGACAUAUUGUUGAUCGGAAAUAAUGUAGAAUUAUUCUGCAAAGCAUAAAGGAGUGUUUGAAAGGAGUUUUUCAAAGAAAGACCUCGGUGAAGUUGCUUACAUAUGGAGCAUCAAGAUCUAUAGAGAUAGAUCAAGACACUUGAUAAGUUUUUUCAAUGAGUACAUACCUUAAUAAGAUUUUGAAGUAGUUCAAAAUGGAACAGUCAAAGAAAGAGUUUCUUGCCUGUGUUACAAGGUGUGAAAUUGAGUAAGACUCAAAGCCCGACCACGGCAGAAGAUAGAAAAAGAAUGAAAGUCAUUCCCUAUGCCUCGGCCAUAGGUUCUAUAAAGUAUGCCAUGCUGUGUACCAGAUCUAUUGUAUACCCUACACUGAUUUUGGCAAGGGAGUACAAUAGUGAUCUAGGAGUAUAUCACUGGACAACGGUCAAAAUUAUCCUUACUGGAAUAAGGAUAUGUUUCUCGAUUAUGGAAGUGACAAAAGGUUCGUCGUAAAGGGUUAUGUCGAUGCAAGUUUUGACACUAAUCUAGAUGACUCUAAGUCUCGGUCUAGAUACAUAUUGAAAGUGGGAGCAAUUAGCUAGAGUAGCUCCGUGCAGAGCAUUGUAGACAUAGAAAUUUGCAAAAUACUUACGGAUCUGAAUGUGACAGACCGUUGACUAAAAUUAUCUCACAAGCAAAACAUGAUCACACCUUAGUACUCUUUGGGUGUUAAUCACAUAGCGAUGUGAACUAUAUUACUGACUCUAGUAAACCCUUUGGGUGAUGGUCACAUGACGAUGUGAACUAUGGGUGUUAAUCACAUGGCGAUGUGAACUAGAUUAUUGACUCUAGUGCAAGUGGGAGACUGAAGGAAAUAUGCCCUAGAGGCAAUAAUAAAGUUAUUAUUUAUUUCCUUAUAUCAUGAUAAAUGUUUAUUAUUCAUGCUAGAAUUGUAUUAACCGGAAACUUGAUACAUGUGUGAAUACAUAGACAAACAGAGUGUCAAUAGUAUGCCUCUACUUGACUAGCUCGUUGAUCAAAGAUGGUUAUGUUUCCUAGCCAUAGACAUGAGUUGUCAUUUGAUUAACGGGAUCACAUCAUUAGGAGAAUGAUGUGAUUGACUAGACCCAUUCCGUUAGCUUAGCACACGAUCGUUUAGUAUGUUGCUAUUGCUUUCUUCAUGACUUAUACAUGUUCCUAUGACUAUGAGAUUAUGAAACUCCCGUUUACCGGAGGAACACUUUGUGUGCUACCAAACGUCACAAUGUAACUGGGUGAUUAUAAAGGUGCUCUACAGGUGUCUCCAAUGGUACUUGUUGGGUUGGCGUAUUUCGAGAUUAGGAUUUGUCACUCCGAUUGUCGGAGAGGUAUCUUUGGGCCCACUCAGUAAUACACAUCACUAUAAGCCUUGCAAGCAUUGUGACUAAUGAGUUAGUUGCGGGAUGAUGUAUUACGGAACGAGUAAAGAGACUUGCCGGUAACGAUAUUGAACUAGGUAUCGAGAUACCGACGAUCGAAUCUCGGGCAAGUAACAUACCGAUGACAAAGGGAACAACGUAUGUUGUUAUGCGGUCUGACCAAUAAAGAUCUUCGUAGAAUAUGUGGGAACCAAUAUGAGCAUCCAGGUUCCGCUAUUGGUUAUUGACCGGAGAGGUGUCUCGGUCAUGUUGUAGCGACCAGACCUCAAAUGGUCUGUGCUGCUGUGCACCAGUGUCAUCCCUGGAUCAGUAAUGCUGACACGCACAGUACAAACGGAGGAUUUAUAACAGAGUAGCAAUCACACACUUAUUACAUCGAAUAUCUCCGAAGAGAUCAAGUAUGAUAAACAUGGCUUAAGGCCAUCUGAUAACGAUAACAGCGGAAGACUUGAAAGAUAAGUGAGUCCAUCAACUCUAGCGGCAUCACUGAGUAUAAGACCACGACCUAAGGCACCUUACUCGUUGUCUGAAAAGUCUGCAACAUGAAACGUUGCGGCCCGAAAACGGGUCAGCACAUAGAAUAUGCUGGCAAUGUAACACAUAGAGAAUAAUGAACGAUAACAAUGCUAUACUAUAUGCAUAUAUGGCUGGUGGAAAGCUCUAUGGUUACAAUUUUGCGAAAAGCCAAUUUUAUCCUACCUCAAAGGAAUAAAUUUUAUUUAACUAUCAUGGUGGUUGUGAAACAUUGAGAUGGUUGACAGCAUCUCAAUCCCAAUUAAAUGUCAUCAAUAACCCAACAAAAUAAAUUAAUAGUAACAUAGUGAUGAGAUUCACAUGAUAAUCCAAGUACUAGAUACUCAAGUUGUCCAUAACCGGGGACACGGCUAACCAUGAUUAGUUUGUACACUCUGCAGAGGUUUGCGCACUUUUCCCCACAAGACUUGAUCGCCUCCGCUUGAUUCUCGCACUACAUGAUGUUUGAGAAACGGAUGACCGAGACACAGUCUUUCAGAAGUGUUUGCACCUUACGUAUGGGUAGACAGUUACACCUACUUUCCCCUACAUCUGCUAGUCUACCACUGUAAGAGUUCACACAACUUAGUCAACUAUGCUAGAGCCCAUAAUAGCUUGCGGCUGCACACAGAAGUUUCUAGCAUGAAUAAUCUCAUGAUCCCUUUGAACCUGGGUGGCGGUCCAAAAGAAAAACAGGCAAUCCUGGAAUACCCAGGUACCUCAAUCCACCCAGAUGUGAGUUUUAGUUGCCACCUUAAGUAAACCAUUAAUUAACAAUCUCACAUCUGUCAUGGAAAUCUCUCAAACCCAAUCCACGUCUACGAGCAUAGCAUGGCAAUAAUAAUAGCAAACGUAGAAGUAACUCCCAAGGGUUUGAUAAUAAAACAGGUAAUAGGUUCUACCUCAACUACUUCCCAAUACCCACAAUUUAAUUAGAUCCUAGUCAUGCAAUGUUUGAGGAAUAGAUCUAAUGCAAUAAAACUGGGUAUGGAAGGUAUAUGAUCAAAGUGUUACUUGCCUUGCUGAUGAUCCGCGAAACCUAACGAUUUGAAGUAACAAGCGGCACACUCCGGGUACUCUAUCGCAAACAAACAAGCAUACAAUCAGUACUCAUCUAAUGCACAGGUAAAACUCGAAUGAAAGAUCCAACCAGAAAGUUCAACUUAAGAACUCCGGUUUGCAAAAAGAAUCAACUCGAAAGAAGCAACGAAAGUCAAACGGCGAAAGAAAGAAACUUCGUUUACUAAUCUGGAUCUAGGUCAAAUUUUACUGUAGCAAAAACUUGUUUGAGUAGGUUAAACGGAAAGAGAAUUUCGAGACGAAACUCUAGGUGCUUGAAUCGCCUGAUUCCGAUAAACGAGCGAGAAGUUAAACAGAAUCGAAAAUUCGAUCAGAAAUCGAAUCUGAGAUAAUCGCAGAAAAAUCUGACGAAAAAGAAAAACGGAUGAACGGUUAAAGAAUGGACGUUCGUUCACAGAGAAAAACCGACGAACGCGUUCGUUAAAACGAACGGUUCGGUGAACGCUCGGAAAAUAAUAAAACCGAAAAAAACCGAUCUAGGGUUUUUUUUAUUUUUUUAAAACGAAGGGUUUUUUUAGAAGAAAACCGGCAACGACGAACGGGGCAGCGGCAGUACCUCGUCGGGGCGGCUCCGGCGAGGGCUCCGGCGGGGCGCGGGGUGCGGGGGUGCGGGCGGCGGCUCCCGGCGGCGGCGGCGNNNNNNNNNNNNNNNNNNNNNNNNNNNNNNNNNNNNNNNNNNNNNNNNNNNNNNNNNNNNNNNNNNNNNNNNNNNNNNNNNNNNNNNNNNNNNNNNNNNNNNNNNNNNNNNNNNNNNNNNNNNNNNNNNNNNNNNNNNNNNNNNNNNNNNNNNNNNNNNNNNNNNNNGCUCUGGGGCGGCUCGGUCCCGUGGCCAUGGCGGACUCCGGCGGCGCGGUGGCUCCCGUGCGGAGGAAGGAGAGGGCGCGGGCGGGCCGGCGCUCGGCUGGGCUUCGGCCCGGUCGGGCGUCGCGCAGUUUUUUUUUAAAUAAGUUCCGCGGAAAAUAAUUCGUAGAAAAAUAAAUAAAAAGCAGAAAAAUAUAAAAUAAAAUUUCCCCGUCUAGUUAGAAAAUCUAGAAUAGGGUGAACAUUUUUUUAAAUCAAAAUAUAUAUUUUGAAAACAUGCAAUAUUUUUAAUGCAAUAAAAAUUGCAAAAAAAAUCCGAAUAAAUUUCAAUAAAAGAUUUUAACAUUUUUCCUCCAGUAUUUCAAUUGUUUUGGAGAAGUCAUAUUUUCACCUCUCGUUUAUUUUUAAAAUGAAAUAUUUUUCCGGAGAGAAAAUAAUUAAAACCAAAAAUCCUCGUCUUAUUAUUUGAUGAAAAUCAAAUAUGAAAAUUCGAGAAAAUCCCCAACUCUCUCCGAGGGUCCUUGAGUUGCUUAGGAUUUAUCGAGGAUUUGUCAAAAUGCAAUAAAACAUGAUAUGCAAUGAUGAUCUAUGUAUAACAUACCAAAUUGAAAAUUUGGGAUGUUACACAUGUCUACAUAGUUCUCGAACCCGUAGGGUCCGCACGCUUAACGUUACGAUGACAAUUUUAUUAUGAGUUUAUGUAUUUUGAUGUACCGAAGGAGUUUGGAGUCCCGGAUGAGAUCAGGGACAUGACGAGGAGUCUCGAAAUGGCUGAGACGUAAAGAUCGAUAUAUUGGACGACUAUAUUCGGACUUCGGAAAGGUUCCGAGUGAUUCGGGUAUUUUUCGAAGUACCGGAGAGUUACAGGAAUUCGUAUUGGGCCUUAAUGGGCCAUAUGGGAAAGGAGAGAAAGGCCCCAAAGGGAGGCCGCACCCCUCCCCAUGGACUAGUCCGAAUUGGACUAGGGAGGGGGGGCGCCCCCUUCCUUCUUUCUCCUUCUCCCUUCCCUUUUCCUACUCCAACAUGGAAAGGAGGAGUCCUACUCCCGGUGGGAGUAGGACUCCCCCCUUGGCGCGCCCUCCUCCUUGGCCGGCCGCCUCCCCCUUGCUCCUUUAUAUACGGGGGCAGGGGGGCACCCCAUAGACACAACAAUUGAUCUAUUGAUUUCUUAGCCGUGUGCGGUGCCCCCCUCCACCAUAUUACACCUAGAUAAUAUCGUUGCGGAGCUUAGGAGAAGCCCUGCGUCGGUAGAACAUCAUCAUCGUCACCAUGCCGUCGUGCUGACGAAACUCUCCCUCAACACUUGGCUGGAUUGGAGUUCAAGGGACGUCAUCGAGCUGAACGUGUGCUGAACUCGGAGGUGCCGUGCGUUCGGUACUUGAUCGGUCGGAUCGUGAAGAUGUACAACUACAUCAACCGCGUUGUGUUAAUGCUUCCGCUUUCGGUCUACGAGGGUACGUGGACAACACUCUCCCCUCUCGUUGCUAUGCAUCACCAUGAUUUUGCGUGUGCGUAGGAAUUUUUUUGAAAUUACUACGUUCCCCAACACCUACAGCAUCAACAGCUGGCUCGACUUCACGGAAGUUCAUCCGCAACUUCACCAGCACGUACAAGCGGCCUCCCAAGCCCCGCCAGGUCUCCUUGUGCGUCCAAGGGCCCAGCGAAUCAACUCGCGACUACCUCACACGUUGGGCCGAUCUCCGCAACUCCUGCGAGGGGGUGCACGAGGUUCAAGCCAUAGAGUACUUCACCGCCGGGUGCCGAGAGGGCACCCUCCUCAAGCACCGACUCCUCUGCGACGAGCCCACUACCCUCGAUGUGCUGCUGAUCAUAGCAGACAAGUACGCCACGGCCGACUCUUCAAUGAAGACCGAGCUUCGAGUGGAUGCCUCUGGAAAGGUGCUCGCUCCGGCUCCCAAGACGCCGGCUGGUGACUCCAACCGACGCCCUUACCAGAACGACAACAAGCGCAAGGCCCCUAUGCCGCCUUCCACCAGUCGGCAAGUAGCCUCAGUCGAAGACGAACAGCCCGAAGAGCGGCCCGCGCCCAAGAAGCAGAAGGGCGGCAGGCCGGCUUGGCAGCCGACUUUCUCCUACGAGCAAACCCUUGAUGCCCCCUGUAAGUUCCACAGCGGCGCGAAGCCGUCCAACCACACGACCCGGAAGUGCCAUUGGCUCACGCGGAUCUCCAAGGGCGAGGGGCUGGUGCCGCCUCCACCUGCUGGCCCGCCGCCUCCUUACCCUCAGCAGCCGGCUGUUCGCCCCGUAGUCGGAGCCAUUCAAGAUGAGUUCCCAGACGAGCACGCCGCCUACGUCGUCUUCACCAGCCAAACUGAAGAUAGGCGCAGUCGGUGCCGACAACACCAAGAAGUCAACGCAGUUGCCUCCAACAACCCAGAGUUUAUGCUUUGGUUUGAGAAGCCCAUCAGCUGGAGCCGGGCCGAUCACCCAGAGGUGAUGCCGUCUCCAGGCUCCUACGCAUUGGUGUUGGACGCCACCCUCGCGACAGAAAGGCGAGCUGCCCGUUUCUCCAGUGUACUGAUUGACGGUGGAAGCAACAUCAAUAUACUAUACCGUGACACCAUGGAGAAGCUGAACCUCAAGACGAAGCAACUCAUGCCAAGCCGGACUGUGUUCCAUGGCAUCGUACCCGGCCUGUCCUGUUCCCCAAUCGACAAGAUCAAGAUGGAUGUUCUCUUCGGAGACAAGGAUCACUUCCGCCGAGAGGCGAUCUGGUUUGAAGUGGUGGAUCUAGAGAGCCCUUACCACGCAUUGCUUGGCCGACCUGCCCUGGCCAAGUUCAUGGCUGUGCCCCACUACGCCUACCUCAAGAUGAAGAUGCUGAGUUCAAAGGGGAUCAUCACCGUAGCCGGAGACUACAAGAAAUCCUCCGAGUGUGCUGCAGCCAGCAGCCGGCUGGCCGAGUCCCUUGUGAUUGCUGAAGAGAAGAAGAUGCUGGACCGAGUCGUGGCCAUGGCUGGCAAGCAGCCGGCCCAUUCCCCUGACCCCAAGGAAUAUGAUGCUCAAGGCUCCUUCCAGCCAGCCAAGGAAACAAAGAAGAUACCUCUGGACCCGGAGAACCCAGAGAGGUUUGCUGUCAUUGGUGCAAACCUGGACAGCAAAUAGGAAGGCGAGCUCGUCGACUUCCUCCGUAAGAAUCGGGACAUCUUUGCAUGGUCCCCAAAGGAAAUGCCGGGUGUUCCGAAGGAUUUCGCCGAGCACAAGCUACACGUUCAAGCAGACGCAAAACCAGUCAAGCAACCUCUCCGCCGACUGUCGGAGGAGAAGAGAAGGAUAGUGGGAGAAGAGAUAGCCCGGCUCCUGGCAGCCGGCUUCAUUAUGGAGGUGUUUUUUCCAGAAUGGCUUGCCAACCCGGUCCUGGUAUUGAAGAAAAACAAUAAAUCAUGUAUGUGUAUAGAUUACACCAGCCUCAACAAAGCCUGCCCCAAAGAUCCGUUUGCCUUACCACGAAUCGAUCAAGUGAUAUACUCCACAGCCGGAUGCGAGCUGUUGAGUUUCUUGGAUGCUUACUCAGGCUACCACCAGAUCAAGUUGGAUCCAGCCGACCGCCUGAAGACCGCCUUCAUCACACCAUUCGGAGCAUUCUGCUACCUGAAUAUGACAUUCAGCUUGAGAAAUGCCGGUGCCACUUUUCAGCGUUGCAUGCAGAAAUGCCUCCUCAAGCAACUCGGCAGAAAUGCCCACGUCUAUGUAGCCGAUAUUGUGGUGAAGACGGAGAAGCGUGGCACCCUGCUGGAAGACCUCAGAGAAACAUUUGCCAACUUGCGCCGGUUUCAGAUCAAGCUCAACCCUGAGAAAUGCGUGUUCGGAGUACCAGCCGGCCAGCUUCUAGGCUUUUUGGUCUCCGAACACAGCAUCGAGUGCAACCCAGUGAAGAUCAAGGCCAUAGAGAAAAUGGAGAUUCCUACCAAGCUGCGAGACGUCCAGAAGUUUACCGGGUGCCUGGCCUCCCUAAAUUGCUUCAUCAGCCAGCUAGGAGAGAAGGCUCUCCCCCUGUACCGACUCAUGAAGAAGUCCACCCACUUCGAGUGGAACGACCAAGCAAACCAAGCUUUCCACGAGUUGAAGAAGAUGCUGACCACGCCACCUGUCUUGGCAGCACCGACUGAGAAAGAGCCCAUGCUCCUUUACAUUGCCGCGACUAGCCGAGUGGUCAGCACAGUGAUUGUGGUCCAACGCCCAGAAGAAGGCCGGGCUCAGUUAGUCCAGAGGCCGGUGUAUUAUUUGAGCGAAGUACUGUCCACCUCGAAGCAAAACUACCCGCACUACCAGAAGAUGUGCUAUGGAGUAUACUUUGCUUCCCAGAAGCUGAAGCCCUACUUUCAAGAGCAUCCCAUCACGGUCGUAUGUACUGCCCCGCUCGCUGAGAUCAUAGGCAGCCGGGAUGCAUCCGGCCGGGUGGCUAAGUGGGCCAUUGCGCUGGCUCCUUACACGAUCUUCUACCAGCCCCGCACCGCCAUCAAGU
rnacentral:lncRNA from 1 species